UCCAGUUUCACCUACAGAUUGCUGUGCUGUUUGUUUACCUUUUUUUAACAAUUUUUGACGCCUUAUAUAGUGACCCCGACACUUUAUAUUGAGCUUUUUAUAUCCAAAGGAAUAGUAUCUUAUGAUUUUCUCCGUGCCUUUUUCAGGGUAACUUUGACCUUGUGGGUAACAACAUGCCUGUGUUUUUCAUACGAGAUGGGAUGAAAUUCCCUGAUAUGGUCCAUGCUUUCAAGCCAAACCCAAAGACCAAUUUGCAGGAGAACUGGAGAAUAGUAGAUUUCUUCUCUCACCACCCAGAGAGCCUGCACAUGUUCACCUUCCUCUUUGAUGAUGUUGGCAUCCCACUCAACUACAGGCACAUGGAGGGCUUUGGUGUCAAUACCUACACCUUGAUCAACAGGGAUGGAAAGCCUCACCUUGUGAAAUUCCAUUGGAAGCCUACUUGUGGCGUGAAAUGCUUGCUUGAUGAUGAAGCUGUGACUGUUGGAGGUACCUGCCAUAGCCAUGCGACAAAGGAUCUAUAUGAUUCCAUUGCAGCUGGGAAUUACCCUGAAUGGAAGCUCUACAUCCAGACUAUCGAUCUUGACCAUGAGGAUAAGUUUGACUUCGACCCGCUUGAUGUCACCAAGACCUGGCCUGAGGAUAUCAUCCCACUGCAACCUGUUGGACGGAUGGUCCUGAACAAGAACAUUGAUAACUUCUUUGCGGAGAAUGAACAAAUUGCUUUCUGCCCAGCGAUUAUUGUCCCUGGAAUCCACUAUUCUGAUGAUAAGCUGCUCCAGACGAGAAUCUUCUCCUAUGCUGAUACCCAGAGGCACCGCCUUGGUCCAAACUAUCUGAUGCUUCCUGUGAAUGCACCAAAAUGUGCCCACCACAACAACCACCAUGAAGGGUUCAUGAACUUCAUGCACAGGGAUGAAGAGGUACUAUGUUCUUUGGACUUCUUUCUCCUUUUGCAUGCAAGUGUGUUAGGAUGCAUCUUACCUAUUGACACAUGUAACAUGUGGGAGUUCUUCCUUUAUAGCACUUAUAUCUAUUUUCUCUGCUUCUUUAGGUGAACUACUUCCCUUCAAGGUUUGAUCCUACCCGUCAUGCUGAGAAGGUCCCUAUUCCUUCCCGUGUUCUAACAGGCUGCCGCGAGAAGGUGUGUAUUGUAGUAUGUUUAAAUUCGAACAGUGCCUUUAUGUUAACAAUAUUAUGCUAUGGUGGGCUUGUGGCUGCAUCGUUGUACUAUAUAAUGGCGAAGGUGAGUCAUUGUUGGAUUUUUUUCUUGAUUCUGAGAACCUGGCGUGUGCUGUUGAAUCUGCAGUGCAUCAUCGAGAAGGAGAACAACUUCAAGCAGGCUGGUGAGAGAUUUCGAUCCUUUGACCCUGCCAGGUUUGCUCCCACACCUCAGGCUGUUUGGUUUACAGGCAUAGAAAGACAUUAAGCUGCUGUUUGCCUAAUUCAAGUGUUUUGGUAUCUGAUGACAGGCAAGACCGGUUUAUCCAACGAUGGGUUGACGCACUGUCAGACCCUCGUGUUACCCAUGAACACCAUACGAUUUGGAUCAACUACUGGUCUCAGGUAUUCAUUUUGUUGUUUGUUUUUGGUAAAAUGCUCAGUGGCUACUUGGGCUAUUGCUAACCAUGUACAACAGCUGCGGACAUUUGUGUUUUAUUAUCUUGGUACUGAAACCAUAUUACCUGUGUGCUGCAGUGUGAUGCCUCUCUUGGCCAGAAGCUGGCUUCUAGGCUGAACCUGAAGCCGAACAUGUAAGAUUGACAAGGAAGAAAGCAGGCGCCGGUGGCCGAGGAUGCAACAUGGAGCGUGAUGCAACACAUGUUGGAUCGUGCGAUGUUGAGAACGGCUGUUACACCUAUAUAAUCGAAUAAACAGGGAUGUGCGCGUUGUAGUAUGCUGAUGAUCGGUGGUGGUUAUAUAUCCUGGAACUUUUGGUGUACACAUCUUUUCUGGAAAGACGUAAUAAUAAAGAAGAAUGUGUCAAUGUGGUGGGCAACAGUAGCAGACGAUGUAGUUUACGGUGGCGUUGUUUUUGUCGCCUGUAAUGCAAAACCCUGCUGUGUGCUCGCCUGUCUAUUACAAACAGUGAUGAGUUGUGGCGGUAUGUUUUUGACAGUUUAUUUACUAGUGAGUACAUCUCUGAUUGAUCACGUUCGCCUAGAACCAAAGAACGUGAAGGAACAGUCGGUUCUGGUGUGGUGGUUGCCCCCUCAAAAUUCAGAAAGAACGAACAGAGGCAGCAAGGAUCCCAAUCCUAACCCCAUCUAAAGGGUCUCUCUUUGAACAGAAUUCAGAAAAGCACAGGCAAAAGAGAAGCAGCAAGGAACCCAUACAAAGGGUCUCUUAAAAGGCAGAUUUUUUUGCCAUGUUCUAGCACUACUAUUUCAGCGGUACUUUUUAACGAACGAACAAUGUUUUUCUUACAACAAAUCAGCAUAAGCAUCGUAUAGGAGUUUUACUGAAAGUUAGUUCAAUUUGACAGGAUUUUAUAAGAAUUAUAAUCAUAUAGGAAUUUUAUUGAAACUAUGAUUUAAUAUAGGGGAAAAAUAUCCUAAAUUCCAAAGAGGCCUGUAUCCGUCUGCACAUACAUUACACGGAUUCAGCAUGGCUUUGCCUCACCGUCACCGCAGCAAGAGCAAACAUGACCAACCAUGCUGCCGCAACAGAAAAACAGGCGGCCUGCAAUUGUCCAGCGGGCCGGGAUAAGUGGGCUUGCGGGCAGGCCGGCGUCCCUUGCAACCCUACUCUGCUGCCUUGUCCUUGUCUUCUUCUUCCAUCACCCCCAAGCGUGACCGACGACUGGGCCGACCGCCGCCGCCGACGACGAGCACCACCAGUUACGCGCUUCCCUUCCUUCUGGGAGAAGCCGUGCGCCCAAACCUUAACGUAGCAGGACGCUCAGCACGAGCUGGAGAUGGAGGUGGAGGUGGCCAAGUAUUCGCGGGGGCAGGGUGCUGACUUGAAGGUAAUCCAUUGUUGUGCUCUUGCAAACAAGCUACAAGUGUUAACCAUUCUACUUUAGGAUGAAUAUGCUGGCCUGCUAUGCCACUGUCAUUUUCUCCUGAAACUGCACAUUGACUAGCUUGGUUUUGGAAUGGCUCUGUAGGCGCUGCGGGACAAGAAGUUGAAAGGGCAGCUCACUGUAAAAGAGAAGCUAUAUGGCCAAUCUGCAAAAGCUGCUGCAAAGGCAGAAAAGGUCACCUCUCUUUCCAUUGCAUCGUUGUGGAUAUGCAAUUGGUGUCUCACUAGAAAUCUUAGGUGAAAUUGUGAACAUUAUGCGGGUGAAACAGAGAGUCUGAUAUUUAAAACCUGUGAUUGGUUAUGGUAUAUGUAUGCUAUUGUACCCCACAAUUGAUGUUUAGCUGUUUUGACCUCAAGGGAAUCCAGUUUGGAUGAACUGACGAAGUGAGUAUACGCACAUACAUACAGGUUUAGCAUUUUACAAGCAUUAUAUGAGUCACUGAAAGCCUGAAACAUUACUGCCAAAAAGGACAAAGCCUCAGCAAGAUCUGUAUGUUUUUUUUUUUGGGUACAUAUUGGCUUGCUAAAAGUACUAUUGCUGAGCUGAAAAGACUUGCUUUGGAGCAGAGCUUUGUUGUCUUAGAUCAGCUCCUAGCUCUUCCUCUGAGCAGAACUUGGACAUCAAUGUGGUCUCUAAUAUAACACUUUGACUAGCAAUAUUAAUAAAAGUAUAUUAUGUUAAACAGAGAUAUACGUUAUAAAAGUAGUAUUCCGAAUAAAGCUAGCAAUGCUGAUAUAGUCCUAUCAAGCUAUAUAAAUAUUAUACUCCCUUCGUUCCAAAUUAUAAGACAAUUUGGAUUUUCUAGAUACAUUUCUUUUACUAUAUAUUUAGACAUAGUGUAUAUCUAAGUGCAUAGCAAAAGCUAUGUGUCUAGAAAUGCCAAAACGUCUUAUAAUUUGGAAAGGACGGAGUAGACAUUGAUAGAUGAAGAUAAAAAGAAAAGUUUAACUUAAAGAUAAACCUAGAUGGACUUAUAUUUGUGAUAAGAGGAAGUAUGUAAAACGGCAUGCCUACCUUUUUGAAGACAGUAUGAGCUUAAAUAUGUUGAUCUUUUAGAUUUUUUUAGUUUGAUUCACUUUUCUCAUGACCCUCAUUCUUGAUGGUUAUACUCUGAAUCAGCUGUUGUUAAUAUUCUUCUUUAAUGAAAUAACAUGCAGCUCUCCUGCCCAUUUGAGGGAAAAAAAAACUGUUCUUAAUUUCAAAGAUUUGUCCUUGUCUGAUUUCUGCUACUCCGUUUUGCAGUGGCUUAUGCCUAAUGAUGGAGGUAUUUUAGAGCCUGAUCAUUUGGAGAAGACAUAUAGAUUUUCACAAAAGGAUAUAUUGACGGAGGUGGAUCUUUUGAGUUCAAGAAAACCAUUUGAUAUGAUCUUACCUGGUAAAUCUUUUAGUCAAUGUUAGUGUUCUAAGAAUUUCUGUCAACAUAACUUGUUUGUCGCUCUUGCCUAAACCAGCUGUUAACUGUUUGAUAAUAACAACCUUGUUGAUUCUAUAUGAUCCUUUAGAGUAUACAAUAACUCAAAAAAUGCCCUUUUUGCUGAUAUUUAUAGUUUUAUACAUGACACUGUACUGAAUCCAACAUGCAUGUCCGGUGCCAGUUUUGAUUGAUUGAGAAAUCUGCAUAUUCAAUUUUGUUAGCCUACCUUACUAUUAACUUUUCUGAAUAUAUGAUUACUGACUGCUAUGGGAUCUGACUGACGCUUCUAUUGUGCAGUACUUGGUCCUUAUCAUAUAGGAUACACAUCAAAUGGACGCUACAUGCUAGUAGGCGGACGAAAAGGCCACCUUGCAAUGAUGGAUAUGUUGCAUAUGAAUCUUAUCAAGGAAUUUGAGGUAAGUUCUUUUACUAUUGAAGCAUUUCCCUCCAUACGGGCUUUACUUCACAUACCCUUGUUUGUGCCAUGUUCAAAUGUCAAAAUAUUUCCAGCAUCACCCAUUUUUGGUGUGCUUCAUGGAUAACGAUUGAUUUGGUUUUAAUUUCUUAUUUUCUUUAGGUGAGGGAAACUGUUCGUGAUGUGACAUUCUUACACAAUGAGCAGUUGUAUGCAGUCGCUCAAAAAAAGUAAUUUCUUUUUACUUUGCUGGAACUGUGUACUAUGUCAUCAUUGCUCAUGAAAUAUUUAACAUGUAUUAACUGUUGGCCUGAAAAAUAUGAAAUAAAGGAAUAUUAAAAUUCACAGAAAUCACUGUUCAGGGUCUCAAAUGAGAACAUAUACCAAAUUGUUGCGAAAUCUGUUGAUCAACCAGGUCAUAAAAUUAUUUCCAAAUGGUUGCUGCGUGUUCCUCAUAGAAAUAUCCUGAAGCCAUAUUAUUUCAUGCAACAUUCAUUUUUGUGAACAAUAAGCCUAUUUCUGGCAGCUCAUUGAACUUCUUAUACAUAAUCUGAAUCUCAAUGAUGUGAGGUAGGAGCAGCUGAAAAUUGCCAUUUGAGGUCUGAGCUCUGACUGAUCUGGAUUGCUUGUCUGAAUUGUUCAUCAUUGCUUUACUGAGGCAUUGAAUUAUUCUAUAAUUUGAAAUGUUUGUACUAGGCUAGAUCAAGCAAAAUUGUAUAUGCUUAUAGUUGAUGCUUUAUUGUUCUAGGCAGUUGAUUAUGGCUGUUGGUCUCUGUUUCCUGUCUACUAUUAACAUUUCAUAGUUACUCAUGAAACAUUUUUCAAACAGGUACCCCUACAUCUAUAAUCAACAUGGUACAGAAAUUCACUGUCUGAAGGUAAGCAUGAUGGCACAAUAAUGCGAUGACAUUACUGUUCAAAUGUUGUUUUCACAUGCUGAUGGGACAAUUAUAGAAGAAAAUAUUCAAUAAUAGAAUCAUAUUCUCUUAUUUGCAUUCAUGAAAACUGCACUAUAUGUCAAACUGAAAGUGGAUCUCUUUUUUGAGAAUAACUGAAAGUGGAGAUCAGCUACAUGUGACUAUGUGAGUCUCAAUAACAUUGGUACUUUCCGAGAACACAUACCUUAUAGUUCCGUUGGCUAAUUUUCCUGCAAUACUGAAAAUAAAAGUUUGCAUACAUUAAAUAAUAAAUUAGCACAUGUUCCCUCCGUUCCAAAUUGUAAGUCGUUUUAGCUUUUCUAUAUACAUAGCUUUUACUACGUACCGGAUGUACAUUAUGUCAUACAUAGUAGAAGGAAAAGCUAUGUAUCUAGAAAAGCUAGAACAACUUACAAUUUGGAAUGGAGGGAGUACUUCACAGUUCAGUCAUCAAAUGCCCUGCAUCCAGGAGAUCAUUUGUCACUUAAUCAAUUCAGUACUUUUUUUAUUUUCCUUUUAAAUCCCACUGGGCCUUCAAAUGAACUUAUUAGACAGAAUUUCUUUGGAAUAUAAUGCUGUGCGCUGGUGAGCAUUGUAACAGUUUAGCAACAUAGAUUUUGAGAGAUGUGUAUCAGUCUCAGCCUGUCAUCAAUGCAUAGACGUGUUAUCAUCCUAAACUCAGUGAAGAUGUUUUCUUUUGUGAGUGUGAUCGCUUCUAUGUUGGCAGGAACAUGGAAAAGCAUUGAAACUCCAAUUUCUGUCUAAGCAAUUCCUCUUGGCCUCAAUAAACAGCUUUGGGCAGCUCCACUACCAAGAUGUGAGCACUGGUGAAAUGGUUGCAAAUUAUAGGACAGGUCUGGGCCGUACCGAUGUUAUGCAGGCCAAUCCUUACAAUGCUGUCAUUGGCCUUGGGCAUGCUGGUGGAAAAGUUACCAUGUGGAAGCCAACCAGUGUGAAACCCCUUGUUACCAUGCUGUGUCAUCAUGGCCCGGUGACUGCUGUUGCAUUUGACAGGGGCGGCAAUCUUAUGGCAACAGCAGGUGUUGACAGGAAGAUAAAGAUCUGGGACCUGAGGAAGUAUGAGGUUGUGCAUUCUUACCCAGUACGUGCUCAGUCCUUGGAUUUUAGCCAGAAGGGGCUGUUAGCCUGCAGCAAUGGAUCUCAGGUAGAGAUAUACAGGGAUUUUGGUGGGCAUGAUUAUAAGCUUUAUAUGAAGCACAAAAUAAUGAAGGGCUAUCAGGUUGGGAAGGUUUUGUUCCGCCCAUACGAAGAUAUUCUGGGGAUUGGGCACUCGAUGGGCUUUUCUUCCAUUCUUGUUCCAGGAUCUGGUGAGCCGAACUUUGAUACCUUUGUUGACAACCCCAUGGAAACUACCAAACAGAAACGUGAGAAGGAGGUGCAUGCUCUCCUUGAUAAACUCCCGCCGGAGACUAUCAUGCUCAACCCAAACACGAUAGCCACUGUAAGAGCUCCAAAGAAGAAAGAGAAGAAGACCAAGAAGGAGAUUGAGGAAGAGAUGGAAGAUGCCAUUGAGGCUGCCAAGAACAUUGAGCGCAAGAAGAAGACCAAGGGUAGGAGCAAACCGAGCAAGCGGGCCAAGAAGAAAGAGGAAGAUGUUUUCAAAGCCAAGAGGCCCUUCCUGGAGCAAUCCGAUAAGGUCGAUGGACGACCUGACAAGAAGCAGCGGAUAGGCGAAGAGGUCGAACUCCCAAAAGCCUUGCAGCGGUUUGCCAAGAAACCACAAUCAUAAUUGUCGUUAACACAGAGUAGGGAUUCACAUUGGUUUGUGAUGCAUGGCUAGUGAGCCUUUAUGAUUUAGCUGUCCAGUAUGUAAAAUUCCAGUGCGAGGAUAUAAUGCACAGAAGAAUGUGCCGAAAUUUUGUCUGAACUAUUGGUAUUCCAGUGAGCAUGGCCGUGCCCCCUCUUUGGUUAUCGUAGAUUCUAUUGCCUUUUUCAUUCAGAUGAAGUAGAUAAUUCCUAGGUUUAUUGUGGAUCAUCAAAGGCACUCUUUGUGGUCAAGUACCGAAGAAUCAGGACUUUGAACCAGAAGCACUCAUUCGCUGCUGUCCAUUACGCUUUAGUUUUGGUUCAUCUACUGUACCUUUGAAGGGCUCUGCUUGUGCAAAAUUGCAGUCAAGGUUAUCGAGUCGUUGGAUCAGUUAUUCAGUUGCGACUAUUGGUGCCACCGUGAUGAAGCUAAAACAAAUUAGAUGAGGAUGCGCUUGUCUUGUAGGUAUGAAAAUUUAAAUUGCAACUCUGGUAAAAAUUUGAUCUAGUAUUGGGUUUUUAAAUUUUUGUGGGCGAAAGUCCAGCAGGCUAGACGUUCGCCCGAGAAGGGGAUGAUCACACGCGGGAAGGGUUGGGCUACCCUGGAUGCAAAUCUCCCUUGCCUUAAGCGGUUGUGUGGAUUAUCAAUCUUGAGAUCUGUCGAUUUAGUCUAAGACCUUCAUAAGUGAUCAUAGAAAUAAAGUUAUCAUUUUUUCCCCAAGAUUUGCCAAUGUUAGUUGGGAGGUUUUAACAAUUUAAACAAGUUACUCCAUACAAAAGCAUAUAAGCAUCUCUAAUAGGGCAACCAAAUCAUUUUGUAAAGAUAAAUAGGGCUAUCAUUAGACAAAAACUUCUCUAAAUAAUGUGCCAGGCGUGUUGGCACGGUCAAAAAGGUUAGAAAUAUAAAUAAAAAAGUAGGUUGGGUUAUAUUUAAAUAUGAUGUGAAAAACAAUUAAAAAAUUCCUGGAUGGUGGCUCCACCACUGCCUGUGCCAUCAUUGACCAAGGCAAAGGUUUGGGUUAUCCAAGGCCUUGUUUAGAUCCAAAAAAAUUUUAGAUUUUGAUACUGUAACACUUUUAUUUUUAUUUGAUAAACAUUAUUCAAUCAUGGAGUAACUAGGCUUAAAAGAUCUGUACAAUUAGUUUUUGUUUUCAUCUAUAUUUAAUGCUCCAUACAUGUGCACAAGAUUCGAUGUGAUGAAAAAUCUUGAAAAGUUUUUUAUUUUUGGGUGAAGCCCAAGUCACGGCGGUCUGGUCACUUCCUGGCCAAAUGCCGUCUGCUCUGGGUUAAGUCAGUAGCAGCCUCAACGUCACUGUUCUAACUUCAAAUUUGGAUUUGGAACGGAGGGGAGUACUUUUUGAACGGCUGUAUGAAUGCAAAUUAUCCGCAGGUCUUCUGGUCGUUGCUAAUCCAAUCAAAAGAUGAUGUAGCACAACUUCAACGAUCUUAUCGCUUUGAAAAACAGAGAGUAGUGCGUGUUAACAGUGCAUUAUUCGGCUAGACUGGUAGCCCACUUGCUGUCAGGACUGCUAAGAUUUUCACGGCGAAAAUAAGCAAGUCUGACUAUUUAUUUGACCACGGCAUUAUAUAUGCACACUUAUUCAGCCGCAACAAGGCAUGACCAACCAUGAUGCUGCUUCUCAGCAUCCUCCUGCUGUCGCCCAUGACCACCACGGCAGGGCAUAGCGACGAGAGAGCUCUUGUGGAUUUCAGGGCAAAGAUUACCACCAACUACGGGGUGCUGGCCUCGUGGAACAGCAGCACCAGCUACUGCAGCUGGGAGGGCGUCACAUGCGGCCGCCGGAGACGUGUGGUUGCUCUAGACCUCCACUCCCACGGGCUCAUGGGCACCAUCUCCCCUGCCAUUGGCAACCUCACCUUCCUGAGGGCGCUCAACCUUAGCUUCAACAGCCUGCAUGGUGGCAUCCCUCCAAACAUAGGUUCCCUCCGCCGCCUCUGGUAUCUAGACCUGCGGGACAAUUCGCUUGUCGGCGCCAUCCCAAGCAACAUCAGCCGUUGCACCAGCCUCAAAAUAUUGGUGAUCGCUGACAACCAGAAGUUGCAAGGAAGCAUACCAGCCGAGAUCGGCAACAUGCCGAUGCUAACUGCCCUCGAACUCUACAACAACAGCAUCACUGGAACCAUCCCACCAUCUCUGGGGAACCUUUCCCGGCUCGCAGUCCUGUCCCUCAAGGGCAACCAUCUACACACAACUCUGGUUCCUUCAGCUCUCUAUCAACAACCUCUCAGGACUGCUACCGCAUUCACUGUACAACCUGUCAUCUUCGAAAGUGUUUUACGCUGCUGUGAACAACCUACAUGGUCAUCUCCCAGAAGAUCUCGGAAGAAGCCUGCCUAAAGUGCAACUCUUUGGGCUUUCAGGUAACCGAUUGACUGGAACUAUUCCAAUGUCACUCACGAAUCUCUCCAGCCUCCAAACAUUUGACAUAUCCAGCAAUGAGUUUACCGGGGUUGUUCCUUCCGCAUUGGGCAAACUGCAAUAUCUUCAAUGGUUUACUCUGGAUGCAAACCUACUUCAUGCAAACAAUGAGCAAGAAUGGGGAUUCCUUACUUCCUUGACAAACUGCAGCAGAUUGCAAGUACUAUCGAUCGGAUGGAAUAGGUUCGCGGGGAAACUACCAAGUUCAGUGGCCAAUUUGUCCACCAGCAUCCAAUUGCUACGGAUUCGCAGAAACAAUAUUGCUGGUGUUAUCCCAUCAGGCAUCGGAAAUUUGAUUGGCCUUCAGCAGCUUAUUCUUGGCGAGAACCUACUCACAGGGGCCAUUCCAGUAAGUAUAGGGAAGCUGACACAAAUGAUCAAGCUAUAUCUGGGCUUAAAUAACUUCUCCGGAACCAUUCCAUCCUCAAUAGGAAACCUCAGUGACCUAUUUGCACUUGGUAUAAAUUCCAACAACAUGGAGGGAUCAAUUCCUCCUAGCUUUGGAAAUUUGAAGAAGCUCAUAGCUCUAGAUCUAUCCAGUAACCAUCUCAGAGGCUCCAUCCCAAAUGAAAUUAUGAACUUGACAUCAAUCUCAGCAUAUUUGGUUUUGUCGGACAACUUACUGGAGGGACUUCUUCCUUUUGAAGUUGGCAAUCUGAUAAAUCUUGAACAGCUUGCUCUAUCAGGAAACCAGCUGUCUGGCAAAAUUCCUGACACCAUCAGCAACUGCAUAGUAUUAGAAAUUCUCCUAAUGGAUGGCAAUUCAUUUCAAGGAAACAUUCCUCCAGCUUUCAAGAAUAUGAAGGGGCUUGCUGUACUGAACUUGACGAGCAAUAAGCUGAACGGAAGCAUCCCUGGGGAGCUAGGCAGUAUCACUAACUUGGAGGAGCUGUACCUUGCCCACAAUAAUCUAUCAGGAGAAAUCCCAGAACUCUUUGGCAAUUCAACAUCACUGAUCCGUCUCGAUCUGUCCUUCAACAAUUUACAGGGAGAAGUACCAAAAGAAGGGGUUUUCAAGAAUCUAACUGGACUAUCAAUUGUUGGAAACAAAGGAUUAUGUGGUGGAAUACCACAGCUUCAUCUUCAAAGAUGCCCAAACUCUGCUGCGAGGAAGAACAAGAAAGCCAUGCCAAUGGCUCUUAGAAUAGCAGUGCCUGCAGUAGGAGCUAUUUUGGUCCUAUUCUCUGGUCUUGCUUUGGCUGUAUUUCUUUGCAAAAGGUCUCAGGCUACAACGACAAAAGAGCAACAGCCACCUCCCUUCAUUGAGAUUGAUCUUCCAAUGGUUUCAUACAAUGAAUUACUCAAAGCAACUGAUGGGUUUUCAGAAGCCAAUCUCCUGGGUAAGGGAAGAUAUGGUUCGGUGUACAGAGGCAAUGUAGAAAAUCAGGGCAUUGUAGUUGUAGUGGCAGUCAAGGUAUUUAAUCUCCAGCAACCAGGAUCAUACAAAAGUUUCAAGGCUGAAUGUGAGGCACUGCGAAGAGUGAGGCAUCGAUGCCUUGUAAAGAUUAUCACAUCCUGUUCAAGCAUUGACCACCAAGGUCAAGACUUCAGAGCACUUAUCUUCGAAUUCAUGCCUAAUGGAAGCUUAGAUAACUGGGUCCACUCAGAUACUGAAAAAGAAAGUGGAAAUGGAACACUCACCAUGGAACAAAGGUUAGAUAUCGCUGUUGACAUUGUGGAUGCUAUAGAAUACCUCCACAAUGGCUGCCAGACAUCGAUUAUCCACUGCGAUCUCAAGCCCAGUAAUAUUCUCCUUACUCAUGACAUGAGGGCUCAUGUUGGAGAUUUUGGCAUCGCUAGAAUUAUAAAUGAAGCUGCAAGCACUUCUUCAAAUUCAAACAGCAGCAUCGGAAUAAGAGGCUCCAUUGGAUAUGUUGCCCCAGGUAAUAUCGAUGCUUCCUGCCUGCUUUACAUAAUUAGAUUCAGUUAGCUGUAUGCUCAUUAAACAAGUUUGUGCAUACCUGUUUGUGCUCUGUUUCAAUCUAUUGUAGAAUAUGGAGAAGGGCUUGCAGUAUCAACUUAUGGUGAUGUAUACAGUCUCGGCAUUACUUUGAUUGAGAUGUUUACAGGAAGGAGCCCAACAGAUGAUAUGUUCAGAGAUGGGUUAAACCUGCAUUACUUUGCUAAGGCAGCUCAUCCUGAUAACGUUAUGGAAAUAGCAGAUUCCAGAAUCUGGCUGCGUAAUGAAGGAAAUAAUAGAAAUGCUACAAGAGAUAUAGCCAGAACAAAGGAAUGUUUGGCUGCUAUCAUCCAGCUUGGUGUACUUUGCUCAAAGCAAUCACCCAAAGAGUGGCUGUUAAUAAGUGAUGCUGCUGUAGAGAUGCAUAAUAUCAGAAAUACAUUCCUCAGUGCUCACUGAUAAAAGUCGUGUGAGAUCAGAAGACUUGAAUAAUAAUCACCGAUUCACCGUACAAAGGUCAUUAUGUUUCUGAUAAUUCUUAUUGAAUUUCAAACACUUUUUGUCAUUUUUCUGAGCAUGUUGAAAACUUAUCAAUUGGUGUGGUGCCGUACCAUCCACUUUCUAUGUCUCAUUGUUUAUAGUAUUUUUGUAUUUCUUGAGUUAUGAAUAAAUGAGGAAGUCAUGACAAUGUCUCUUCAGAAUAGUAGUGCCUACAACAGACAGAGAGCUAUCCUGGAUUAAUUUCAGGGUUUGCAUUAGUUUUCUUUAAUCAUUACAGAAGUUCCAGGGCCAUCUCAGUUCAAUGAGAUAGAUGUUCCAAUGGUGUCAUAAAAUCAAAUACUUAAAGAAAAAGAUGGUAUCUCAGAAGUCAGACUCACAAGCCAAUCUUCUAGGAAACAGGAAAGAUGUUACAUAUACAGCACAAUAUCAUUAGUGAAACCAUUUCUGGUGCCAUCUACGGUAUAGGUAAGAUCAACAUCUGUUCACUCAGUCCAUUUUAGUCACCCAUCCCUAACAGUAACAGUGCCCUUUUGUUCUAGGCUUUUGGUACAGUUCUGUGAUUGAGACCUUUGUUUUACUCCAUUUAAUUCAACAUUCUUAAGCAUCAAUAUUCAACACUCCAUUAUAACUGGACAGUGUUCAUACUGCAGGACAUAAGCAGUUGAACUUUUUCAUCUUUUUGCCAAUUCAUUCAAGGUACAGCAAAUUCUAAAGUAAACAAAAGAAUAUCUACUUUGCUGUGUGGUAUAAAUCACCUUAUGCACCAGUUCAUAUAAGAAUAGCUAGAUAACUACAAGGCAUAAUGACUAGAUUAUGAAGACUUAACUAUGCUAAACACGCCACUACUUUGCCUAACACCCUUCUAGGGAAUAACUUAUGCUCUGAAAUGAAAAAAAAAAGUUGAUGAAGAUUUACAUGUCAUUGUUUGCCCUCGUAGCAAUGCUGAACAUGCGAGUUGUCAACAUCUACAUACUUGGACCAGUAUGUCUUGUACUUGGAAAUGGCAAGGUCAAGCCAGGGCUUAUAAUUCCCAUUGUAAUGAACUACUGCAGCAUUAUCGAUCUCAGCAAUGUCAACAGCUGGAUCAUAGCCCAGGCCCAAGACAUGCCAAGUACGAUUCAACGGGUAUGUCAGGUUGUAGAAAGUAAUUAAACCUGGAGGCAAUGUACCCAGCUUCCACAGCUUACGAUCCUCAUUCUGCAACAGGUCUUCUCUUAGUAAGUGAAACAACAAUAUUCAUUACAGCUUCACUAAAUGAGGGGCAAAAUGCAGUAAGACAAUGCAAUCAGCAGUAGAUUUCUUAUGUCACUACUUACCAAAUCUUGCCAAUAAUGGUAUAUUCCAGUGAUAUUUCGCUUCUUCCACUCCUUGAGGUCAAACAUGUUCAUUCCGAAAGCCCACCCACAAGCAUGCGGAUCGAAGUUCUCUGAGAUCUUUGGGUGUGAGAAGUUGAGAUAAGUGUCAAAGCGAUGGAAACUCUCUUUACAGGUUUCCACAGCGCCAUUUACCAUCCCUUUAAGAUCAAUAUCCCAAAGGGGUGUCAAAUCCUUCUGUACAACAACAUCAUCAUCAAGAAACAGUAUCUUCUCAAGCUUCGGAUGAAUUUCUGGCAUGUAGAACCUCAAAUGGUUGAGCAUGGACAGAUAUUUGGGAUUCCUGUAUUUCAGAUUCUCGUUUCCAUCAGAGAGUGAUGACGGAUCGUGUGCUUUGAAGUAAUAUUCUUUGAGGCGAGCUGACUCCAGUUGCCGAAGAACAGAACAGUAUGACGAAUUGAGCCAUUUGAAAUUGUCUAUGUUCUCCACAUGAACAGUUGCCAGUUGAGGAGGAUGAGUAAUGAACCACAUCUUCAUGGCUGCAAAAUUAAGUCUAUCAGUGACAAUAUGGAACACGUGCUUCUCUGGUUCAUUGGCAUUUGUCACAGUUGAUCUGACAACUACUGAGGCUGCAAGCACAUUAUCAGAAAAUAUAGCAUAGUGGUAGAGUGACCGAUCCUCAAGCUUUUCUUUAUCUUGUUCUGCCUUCAAAGCAGCAGCAUGAAAAUGUUCCUUGGUCGCAUCAUCACGAAAAUAAUAAUCAGUUGUCAGCUGCAUAUGUAGGCAGUGCAAGGGCAUGGGUACUGUCUUCGCAGCAUGCUGAACCAGAAAUGAGUUCUGUUUCUUCACUGCAUCAAUAUUUAGUUCCGUUGACUGCAACAUAGCACGCAAUUUUCUUGACACUUCACCCGAGCUGUACAGAACAUCUCUAGCCGAAGACAGCACAUGCCCCAUUGCUUUUGCUCUCUCUAAGGCACUGCAGAAAUAAGGGGUCAUAAGCACCUUACUCUUUAACACAAAAGUGGGAAAGAGCCAAACUGAUUAAUCUUCAGAAGGGAAAUUUAGUACCUAGAAUCGAGUUCACUGUCAAUAAGUGCAUCCCCGAUAGAUGUUUGGCUUUCUUUUAUGCACUUCAUGAGCAAGGCAUACAUGUCUGGUUCCUUCUGGGAGAGUGCAAUAGUGGCAUAUAACUUGGCCAUUAUUAUCUGAUCUUUCAUGAGCCUUAGUGUUGAAUCUGUAUUAAUAAAGCGGAACUCCUGCCUCCAUAUGUUGUAGCUGCCUCUAACUUUAUUGUUAAAGUUCAUUGAGCUAUUUAUUGCUGCAUUUCGCAUCUCAAGUUCAACCUUCUUAUCCAUCUGAAGCAGCUCCUGAACCCUCCGCUCCUUUCUUCUACGUCGAAAUACCUGCAAGAGCAAUAGCAGCAAACCAACACUCAGAUGGGCAGAAAUAACACAUCACACAGUAAGCCAAACAAAAAAUCUUGAAACACAAGUAAGUAACCACUGCACUGCAUUACAUAGUCACUACAGAGGGAGGAUGGAAUUGACCUGUCGCCUUAAUUUAAUCGGAUCAACAAUUGUAGUUGCCAGAGUUUCAGCACUUGAAACAUUGGUGGUUCCUGAUCCACUGGCGAGUAGAUGAUCCCUGGCAGCAACUUGCUGGCGCAACAGCAGAAGAAGCACCCGUUAGAGCUACAAACAAAAUAGAACAACCUACCAACUUGUCCCCACAAACAACACAGAUAAUUUUUAUUUUUUUCAGAACAUACUGUUCCGGCUACUGGCUGGCUAUCUCUGGGCAACCAAGGGUUCUCCCAGAUAGAGGACGAACCGAAUUCUCUGGCGGUGACUUUGAACAGCUUGAUCCGGCCAUGCUGGUCAGUGUACGCGAUCGUCUUUUCAGCCUUAUCCACAUCCUGCUAACCAUUCACCGUGCAAACAUUAGUGUGGCGAGCGAAGCAACACAAUGCAAUCGCGUGCCCUGAGCAGCCAAAUUCAGAUAGAUAAAUAAUAAAGAGUGACCUGUAGCUUGCUGCAGCCAGGGCAGUUCUCGCGAGUCCCGCGGUCUCUGACAAUCCAAAAUCACACGGCAACAGCGAAGUCAGAGACUUUACUGAAUCGCGUAAUGAGGAAGGAAGAAGGAUGGAUGGCGAUGGUUUCUUACGCUCGGUGACCCGAGAAGAGCCACUGCGACACCGCUGAUCUGGCGGCGGGCACAUGGAUCACGACCUGCGGAGGAGGAGAAGCGGCGGGAACAAUGAGAAAAGGAAAGAGCCCUGGUUCUAAGGGUUGGAACGCAGUGAACCUAACAUUUCGCCGUUGCGGUGAACAGUGCGGGGGUGAGCGGCGACGCGGUGGGUACAAACCUGGAAGGAGAGGAAGCAGAGGAGGAUGAGGAGGAGGACCAGGAGGCCCGGGCGCCGCCGCAGUGGGAGCGUGGUUCUGGGAUACGCUGCCGCGGCCGCGGCCGCCGCCGACGAGGCGGAGGAGGAGGAGGACGCCAUGGACCGGGAGUGGAGUGAUGGGAUGCGGAUUUUUUUUUUUUUUUAAAAAAAAGAAAUAUUUAGGGAGAUGGAUUUUGGGGGACGAGAGCUGGGUGUACUAGGUACUAGCAGGAAGAAUGACGAAUCUUUUUCUGGCCAUAACGGUUAACGGGAAUGGACGGCACGUUUGUCGGGAUUACGGUUCUUCUUGUGGCCUAUAAAAAUGCCACCUUCACCCGUGUCCGUGUUAAAAGAGUGAUGAUAUGUGCUAAACGAGUGACCACGGCAAUCACUUUGAUUUGGAGGAAAGAGCGAUCAGGCAAUGCCUAGACGAGGGUUAGAUAAGUAUGGUGUGAUACGGAACAUCAAUGGUUGGCCUACCUCUACUUUUUUGUUAAGGUGGGAGAGAAAAGUCUAUGAAUAAAUCAGCUAACAGUAGUACUUUCUGUCAUGGUUUAUCAGCCAAACGAACAACUGUCAUCUAAGCAUUUUGCUGACGUGGUAAGAUAGUUAUUGAAGAAAGAGAGUAAAAAUUAUAGAAAGUUAGAAACCAUGGCUACACGAGAACAAGACAUAAAGGGAUGUGACUGGUAGAAAAUGAAGAGACAAUAAAUGUUAUUGGAUAAAAAAUUAUCUCGUAGAAACUAUCCAUUGGAAAUAUAGUUUCUAUGUAUAGUGUCUUUGAAAAUUAAUAAGUAUAACAUUGAGACUGCUCUAAGAAACCAAUGUUUUAUUAAGAUUAGUGUGCUUGUAUUGCACGUUGUCUCUAGGAAAUGUCUUCUUUAAGAUACCAAGUGACUUUAAGAGAGGGAUAAUAAAGCAUUUUAGAAUCUUUUCAUAUGUUCCAUAAGGGCGUAGUGUAGAUGACGGUGCUCGUAAAGAGCAUCUAGGUGUGAUGUGUAAAGAGUUGAUGUCACUAACUCACUAUAGAAACAUUGUUGUGGAGUAAAUGGGACUAAGGUUGUGAUAGAUACAAAACCAUAAUACUCUGGACUCAAGACCGCGUUGCUCUUCUUUAGUUAGACUGUUAGACCUUGUUCAGUUAAUCCCCUAUCAAGAGGAUUAGAAGGAAUUGAGAGGAUUUAAUCCUCUUUAAUCUCCUUCAAUCCCUCCAAUUCCUACCAAAUUGAACAAACCCUAACUUGUACUUUUAAAUCUAAGUAUACUUUGAACCUAACAACAUAUCUACAACCUAACAAUUGCCCAUCAUAGUUCCUCUAAAAAAGUUUCGCCUUCUUUCUGAGAUUAUAGGACAUACUACAAUUAAGUUCAGAAAAAUGUUGCACAAAAUUACAAUUGAGGUUUAUGCAUUGGAGCCAGCACUUGGAAGUUUCUAAGGUUGCACACAAAUUAGCAUAAAACAGUUCUACUUUAUGAAUUCACACUUAGAGUAUAAAUUCUAGAGAGAGAAAUAACAAUGGCAGAAUAGUAUGGUGCAGUGCUAGCAUGCCAAGGAUCAAAAAGUGGGUCAAUAGUCAAGUCACCCCUGGGACAUGCCUACCUCCUUUCCGUAAUGCUACUAGACAUGGGAUCGGGAUACAUAAUCCACAUGUGUGCUUAGCAGUGUGAAGAGAUGGACUUGAAACACACUUCCUUGUGCCGACUGAUGACAUCUGCAGGUAGGCUUAGUUCCAACCAAAUUACAGAACUUUUGACCACCCAGUGGGAAAUGCAGAAUUGGAGGCCUAAAUCCUAGGGCACCAAAUCCUUAAGUGACUCAAAAUCAUUUAUAAAUCCCCAUUACCACCAAAAGUUAUUGCUUGUUAAUCUAAAGCGUUUCUGGACAGCCUUUGUUAGUGGGCAUCCCACUAGAAAUGUCGAUAAUAAAGGAAUGCAGAGUGCCGCCACAUUGCUUUAUUUGGAUUAGCUUAAACCAGCUACAGAGGGAGUAUGACCAAAUCUGUAUGGGCAAGCAAUGAUUCAACAUCACUUUCUGUCUCAAGAUUUUCAGCAAUUAUAAUAUAUAUUUCUUCUAUAUAAUAACAAUGGUUGAUAAAAUCUUUGUUGUAGUGAUUAGAGUAUUUGUUUUCUUCACAUUUGGCUAUAAAAGUUCAGAACUUGUACAGAACCAUGACUAGCAGAAAAAUGGACUGAAUGACCAUGACUGGAACUAUUGUAAGUGCAAUCUGAUGCAAUUCAACUCAGACAAGACUUCCAUGGAAGAAUGGUUGAAUUUUAUGCAUAUGCCAACUAAAAAGUCAUCAUCUUUGUGUACCGCUACACUGUUACAUUGAUCAUCAUGAUCGCCGUAAACUUCGUCAUGACAACAAAAAUUGUGGUCUACUACCUUUACAACGUACCUCCGCAUCAGAAUCGAUCAGUUCAUCCUAAAUGUCCUCAUGACCAUGCCAUGCAUCUACCUGCCCCUGGAGCUGGAGUUGUUCCUAGCGCUGUCACUCCUAGGGGACUGCACCUGACUGCGACGCGAGGACGAGGAGCUGUUCCUGGGCUCCCUCAUCACCCUGCUCUUCACGGACUCGAUCUUCUCCAGUGCCUCCACCACUUCCUUCAUGGAUGGCCGGCUCUUUGGGUCACCGUUCAGGCACUUGAGGGUCAGCUGAGCAGCCAGGAGGGCUCCUUUGGGAUUGUACUGCCCCUCCAGCCCACUGUCCAUCAGCUGGCUAAGCUUCCUCCGGUCAGACAACAAUGGCCUUGCCCAGUUUACCAAGUUCACCUUCUCGCUCUGGCGGCUUGGGUCCAACGCCCUCAGACCAGAGAUCAUCUCCAGUAGUACAACACCAAAGCCAUACACAUCACUCUUCACAUACAGGUGGCCUAGUUCAUGAAAGAUGCAAUCAGUUAACAUUUAGCUCUAUGAAAAGAGCAUUUCCCUUAGUAUGCAUUUAUGAUGCUUACACAAAUUGUCAACAAUAAUAAGGAAUAAACAUAUGGGAGGGAGAAAAACCCUGAUAUACAUACCGGUAGAAACAUACUCUGGAGCUGCAUAGCCAUAGGUUCCCAUGACUCUUGUUGUCACAUGAGACUCCCCACCAUCUGGACCAUGCUUGGCUAAUCCGAAGUCUGAGAGCUUCGCGUUGAAGUGCUGAACAUGAUAUCGGUGUGUGUUGAUUAUAGUAUCGCUCAGGUAACAACAGUUCGUUUUUUUUUGUUUUUUUUUUGACGAGACCAACAGUUCGUUAUCAGUAGCUCUGGAAAGAGUAUUUUACCGAAUCCAGUAAGAUGUUGGAAGCCUUGAAGUCUCGGUAGAUGAUCUGCCUUUCUGAUGAAUGAAGAAAUGCGAGGCCACGAGCUGCACCAAUGAGAAUCUUCAGCCUGAGGCUCCAAGGCAGCGGCUCAGAAACCGCCCCUCCUGUCAAUGGUGAAUAAUCAGUAUUAAUAUUACAACUAGAAAAUAAGAUGUUUCACACAAACAAAAUACCCUGAAUGGCCCAGAAAUAGUAACAGGGAAAACAAGUGGAACCAACUUUUUCAUCAUGAAUUUCCAUUUUGACUCGGCAAGGAUAAAUGAAGGCUGAAGCAACAAGAUAUCGUACAGGUCUGGGCAAUUUGGCUGAUGCUGACAUCCUCCAAAAAUGCUCGUUAGUUGUAUGGCACUAUGGACUAUGGUGCUUCAUAUAUAAUAUUUUAUGAAAAUGAUUUGAGAUGCAGAUGAAGCACCAACAUUUGCAAAGUGCGCUACUGCAGGUGAAGUUGGCAUAAAGAGUUUUGACCAAUGUGACAUAAAGAGAUGUUUCUGGAUCAAAUACUAUCAUUAGGGAAAAAAAUAUCUUCUAAAUAUACUCACUUCGGAACAGGUGGUUCUCCAAGCUCCCCUUUGACAUGAACUCAUAUACGAGUAGUAGCUCGUUGUCAUCCAUGGAAUAGCCCAAGAGUUUGACAAGAUUGGGAUGUGAAAUCCUCCCGAGGAAAUUGACUUCAGACUGCAUUGGAAACAAGCAAAUUAUUUUUUUGGGAGAAAAGCAUAUUUAAGAGAGUAUUAUUUCUUUCUAAGUCGGGGGGGGGGGGGGGGGGGGGGGGGGGGAUAAAGGAAGCCAUGGAGUAAAUCAGAAACCCUUAUAUGUUGACAAGACUAAAAAUAGGAAAGAUAGAAAUAAAAAAUGUGAGAGCACAGGACCAUGCACUAAGUCCCAACAGCUAGAUCAUUCUGAUUGUAAAUAAAAAAGGAAAGAAUACUGAUAAAGAACUAGACUCUCAUAGGGACUCAUCUUCCAAAGAAGCAGAGUUAAUAACAUAUAGAGAGAAAAAAUCAGUACAAAAUUGGAACGAACUGAAAAGGGCAGCAAGCUGCACAAUUGUGUACUGAUAUUUAAGCAUUCACUGAUUCAUUUCCCUAGUUCCCUGAUAGUUAAACCCGGAACCACCUAGAUUGCAGUCAUUAUAUUUUUCCUAAAGCAUGCAAUUUAUAAUGUAACGAAAAACUAGCAACUUGACAGUUUCUGUACCUGCCAUUGUUCCAUUCCCUGCACGCUCUCAGGAUUGAGCUUCUUGACGGCAACCAUGAUGCCAGUGCUAGCCUUUGACGGGUUCAGAGUCUUCUCAUCAACCCAUCCCUUGUAAACCUUGCCGAAUCCACCCUCCCCAAGCACAGUCUCAGGCCUGAAGUUCUUGGUGGCGCUCUUGAGUUCCGCAAAGGUGUAUAUCUUGAGGUUCGGAGACUCAAGAAUCUGGCCCUCUGGGUAAUCGUCGUCGACGCUGACACCACUAACUGUGGACGGCAUGAAGGUGCUGGUGCUGCUAAUCGUUGACAGCUUCCCUGUGGUGGCAGAGCUACUAGUCCUCCUCGAUGCAGACAUUCCUGAACAUGUGACAGGAAAAAAAAAGUGAGGUCUUGAGUAAGUUGGGUAUCAGGACAGGGAAUGAGAAGUUUCAAAUGCAUAAUAAUCUACCAUGGCUUAGAAAUUUAGAAUUUAUUUAUAUAACGGAGGCUAAUUUUGCUAUUGGAGAUAGAUAUAUACGAAAUUGGAAACGAAUUUUGCCAUUUGGAUAGCAAAAGAAAAUUAUACUCUCCAAUAUAUGGUGUAAGUGCAGAGGGUAGAGGCCAAAGGGUUGACGGACCCAGAUAAAUUUUCUUAUACGGCGAGAGAGAGAGAGAGAGGUGGUGUGUUUUAUUCUACAGACAAGUCUCAAUUGACAGAAACCAACAAAAUAACAAAUUAAAUAAAUAUAGUUGCAGAGAGAUUGAAAAUUUUAGUUGAUUCAUCAAUUGUCCCAAACAUGAGUACUUGGCGAGCACGUGCGCCUUAAGUUGAAUAGCAUGUGAUUCUUGGAAAGUACGUAGUUUGUUAAUGAUGAUGUAACAGAAAUUUGUAAAACAACACCAAGAGAAGAAGAACAAGACGACGCGGCGGUAAGUAAAAUAUACGCGCGGGCGCGGGUAAAGAGAACAACCGCACACGAGAUAUGCAUGGCAUCAGAUAAACAAAGGCAUGUUCCAGUUAUGCAAGCAGAGGAUUUCAGUUUCAGGCAACAACCCGAACAGGGAGGAAGGAGGCCACCGCAGCAAGCAAAAGAUUGAAGCUUUAAUUAAGAGAGAAGAAGAGAGGAGGAAAUGCUGACGGGGGUUACGGUACCAGGAGUAGCGGCCGACGACGGCGACGGCGACGCCCUGUUGCCGCGCUGGACGAAAGCGUCGAUGGCGCUGGCGCAGUUCCCCAUGGCAGGCGGCCGGCGGCGCGGCACGGGGGCCAGGCGGCAGCGGUUGGAGAAGACAAGAGAGGAGAAGAGAAGAGAAGAGGAGGCUCUAGCGGUUGCUGGAGGGAGUUCGAUUUGCAACUGCAACUGCGACUGAGAAUGGAACUGGAGUAGAGCCACGGGAAGGAAGGGAGAGGCGGAACCAACUGCGACUGCGAGUCUGCGACGCAGGGGAGGGAGGGAAGGAGAGAGGAGGAGGAUGGAGGCGACUGCCGACUUGCGCUACUCGCUAUAUUGUCGUCCUCUGGCGCGAUGCGAUGCAAGCCACUCGGCUUUUUCGUUUUUUUUUUUUUUUUUGUUCUUGCUCGUGUGAUCGUGUCACGUCUCAGUCUAUCAUAGCGGGCAGAAGGUGGAGAAAAAAAAUGAAAAAUGAAAACAAAAAGAGAGUCCUUUGUUUUCUCUUCUUCUGCCCAACACAAGACGUACAAAGGAAAGCGCGCACGCAUGCACACAGCACACCUUAAAAGUUACUAGUUAAAUACUUCAUCCAUUCUAAACUAUAAGUCAUUCCAAAAAUUUUAGAGAGUCAAAAUAUCUCAAGUUUAACUAAAAUUAUAAGGAUUUUUGACAUCAAAUAGGUAUACUAUGAAAAUAUAAUUCAUGAAUAAAUCUAAUCUAGACAUAAUAAUAAAAAGUCAAAAUUUCUCACCCCCUGUUUUUGGUCGAGUCCAUUCUUUAGAAAUAACUAGCAGAAAUCCCGCGCAUUGCGGCAGGCGCAACUUGUGAACCUAGGACUCAGUUUUUCCUUCUCCUGAUAUAUCAUAAAAUUUAGUUAAACUUGAUAUGCUUUGACUCUUCAAAAUUCUUGAAUAACUUAUAAUUUGGAAUGAAGUGAGUAACUAUUUGACGAGUGAGCUCACGGUCUAGUCACCGUAGGGACAUUCUCCCAAUCAGCUCCAAUCCACUCUUGCCUCUUCCAUCAUGAUUUUAAUCAAAGUUGAUUUUCUUGUUCUAAACUUCUAGAAAAAAAAUACUCUCACAAAAAGAGAACUUCUAAAGAAAUCUAGAUAAAAAGCUUACUUUUUGUAAUGUUGAUUCUAGAGAAAACAAUACGAUGAUGAGAUCCAGUAGCAGGUGAAGGGGUUUCCUCUGCAACCUCAACCACGGUAGAGGGAGUAGAGGUAGCGUAGCAUGGGGUGAGUGACGAAAGGACGCGAGCAUGAUAAAAUUGUCGGAAUUUUUUGAACCACGGUCUAGGAAGAACUUCUACUUCUACAAUAAAAAGGCACGAUGAAGAGAAUUAUGGAUGGAUAAAGCGGCCGCAAAAGUGCAACAUUUAAAGAGGUUGGUGCGCUUUCUUUUACUGUAAUUUGGUGAAAAGCCGGCUUCAAAUAGGGUCUAGGUAUGCUCUACUCCACACCCUACAUGUUUGGUAACACUUCCAACUUAUUCCACUAUCUGCUUUAGCCCAUGCUCGACGACGGCGCAGGAGGCCAUAACAGCAUAAGAAGAGAGGGGCAAGCAAGGGAGGCUAUCGCGACAUAGGAAGACGAUUAGGGCGAGCUAUAGGAGGCCACCUCCAUGGAGGAAGAUGAGGAGGGAGAGCGGUGAAACGUUUGCGCAACUCGAGAGCUCUCCUCACCAGAGUGAAGGAAGACGAGGGUGCAUGGAGUCCGCGGUCACUAGAGACCGAGUCGACAGGAGGGAAGGAGGGUACGGUGGUUAAGAAAAAUGAUGGGAGCAGGAUUGCAUCAUGAGGAGUUGGUUUUUCUGUUCCACCCCAGUGCAAAAUUGGCGGAGCAGGUGGGAGUAGCAACAUUUUGCAGCGCUCUGCUACCUAAAUCUCUAGUGGAGUGGAAUGAAGCAGAACGCUCCCAAUCUAUGCCUAGUGGUAUUUCUUUUUUCAUUGACAUUAUAAACACAAGGCUCACAUACACACACUCAUUGGUGCAACACACACUCAUACUCACUCUACCUAAAGCACCUAUCAUGAGUAGAAAAACACAUAUUUGGAGGCAAUUAAAAGGUGUUUGUAGAGGUUGUUGGGAGAAACCCAUUGCUAGUUCAAUGGCUGUGCAAGAGCACAAUUUCCAACUGCGGUUUGUAUAUGAAUGUGAAGGUGUUAUUCCCAAAGGCAAAUAAUUUUUAACCCUUCUCAAUUCCUUUCACCUUAUCAACCUCCCUAUCUCUAGCUCUCCCCUGUACCGAUGGAGCUUAAGGCAAGGCCACCUCUUGCCACAACCUAAGUAGUAGUUAUAAGGCUAAUAAUAAUCAACGUAAAAUUGGUAUUUUACAAUCUCAUAUUAAUUUGUACUCUCUAUAUAACCUAUCCACAGUACUAGAAGAAACUAUUUAAAUGGUAAUUUGUACUCUACUUGUUAUUUAUUGUUAGGUAUUUAUGUUGUUAGUGACUAAUUGCUCUAGUAUUUGUGUGCACAUUGAUCUCUAUAAUGCAAAUUGACCCUUCUUAAAAGUUGAAGUUGAUCCUAGCUCUGCCACUAUCGUGUCAUCGUCUAGAACUAUCACACCGAACUCAGCCUUGUUAGUUUGCAAGUCCUACACACCACCCGGCGGUGGCCACCUACCUAGUGGUCAUGGAGCCCACAACUAUAGCUUUAAAUAUGGCUAGCCAUAUCAAAUGAUACCAAAGAAAAGCCAAAGUAAACUCCUCGUUGGUUCAGUGACCACGAAAAACAUGGUUUCCAUGAGCGGUAUGCACCCACAUAUAGAUAUCGAUUUCUAGAGAUAUAGAUAAUUUAAGACACUUUUUUAUGAAAACCGUCUUUUUAAGUACACCUGUUUCGCGGUCCCCAAUCUUGCACCUCCACCUCAUUGACCUCACCUACUUUGGUAGAAUUCACGUGGCCCUUAUAACAUCUGGCAAAAUUCAUCACUAUCUUUAGGUCCUACGAUGAUAACCCUACAACAACCAAAUGCCUAACAGUGCAAGACACAGUCUCAUGUCCAUUAUUGAUGGACCUGACUUGCAAAAAUAAGAAUUUCUAUAGACGAUCGUUUAUGUGAUCCAUAUCUAGAAAGAGGCCGGUUUAAAAAAACAGUUCACAUAUGCAUUUUAGUUGCACUUCUUAGCCAUGGGGCCCACAGUAAUAGUGUAUAAACGUCACCGAGAGACUAACUUAAUACAUCAUCCACAAAUGGGGAAAAAAAGGUAGUUAUUAGCCAAAAAUACAAAUAUUUGUGCUGAGUAACAAGCCUAGAUUUUGUUCGGCAUGCAAGUGGAAACCGCCGGCAAAUUGAACUGGUCGGUUAGUCGGUGAGCAUGUGUUAUUUGUCUGCUUGUUUCCAUUCUUAUUUUUUAGAGAAAAAUCUGCGUGUGUUUGUUGUUUCCAAUGGCUGCUCCUGUGCUGCUUCUUGGGUCACACUGACCGGCAAACAAUUUUUUUUUUGACGAGUCCGGCAAACAUUGACGCUGAGUCGCGCAUACAUACACUGUCUGCAGUCUGCUGUGUGUGCUUUAUCUAGUCGGCCAACCGCACAUAAGAAUAUAUGAGACCGGCAGGCACAACUUGAGUUAUUAUGCAUCCAUUAGACAGGCAUGGUGUGUAAAGGCAUAUGGGCGCUGGCCUUUUUUUUUUCAUCCAUCAGCAUAUACGAGUAGAACUACUAGAGGUUGCUAUGGUAGUGUAAAAAAUCCAAUAUUAAUCCACCCCGGCCUUGCCCGUUUGUGUUGGGAUGAGAAUUGAUCGAGAGAGACUGUCGCCGGCCGGGCAGGCGCGCGGGCACCGGCAGCGGCAGGAUCUCUAGUUCUCUAUCUCUGAUGAUCUCUCAGUCAAUAACUGGGUCAAUGGAGGACUAGCUUACUGAUGCUUGUGUCCCUGGCCAUAUCAUCUCUUACGUCAUCGGUUUCUUCAUGCAUUGUGGCCUUGUUUAGUUGCAAAAAAUUUUGCGAAAUAGACACUAUAGUAAUUUCGUUUGUAUUUGACAAAUAUAUUAUCUAAUCAUGAAAUAAGUAGGCUCAAAAGAUUUGUUUCGCAAAUUACAGUCAAAUUGUGCAAUUAGUUAUUUUUUAAUUUAUAUUUAAUGCUUCGUGCAUGUGUCGUAAAAUUCGAUGUAACGGAGAAUCUGAAAAAUUUUGCAAAUUUUUUUGGAACUCACAUGUGUGACUUUUCACUCACGCACUCCGUCAGCUGCUGAUGAUGCUGAGCUUCCCAGCGCUACUACACGCUAGGAUCUUUCCCAUAUACUCGUUGCAGACGGCCGACCAGUCAUGCACCUGUGUUUUCUUUGUAGUUGAAAUUCCAUUGCACCCCAAAAACAAAGUACAACUAUGAGUGAAGAUUGUCCCAUUCGAAAUUUUCCAGUGCUUGAGUAACAUUAUGUCUGGGCGAAUAAGCUAAUACUAUCUCCGUCUGAAAAGAAUAUAAUUAUGAGAUCUGUGUCAGUCAAUAUAGCUUAAGUUUAACUAAGUUUACAGUAAAUAUAGAGUAAACAUUUAUAUAUGGAAAUAAUUUUAUUAUAAAAAUUUAUUCUAUAUAACUAAUUUAAGGAUACUUAUUUAUAUAUAUUAUUAUCGUUAGUAUUUUUUAUAUAAAUUUAGUUAAAGUUUAAAUAGUUUGACUUAUUUAAAAACGAGAAUUAUAUUUUUUUUAGACAGAGGGAGUACCUUAAGACAAGAGCAUGGCUCACCUUUUUUCAGUGAGGUUUCUCACUUGAUGACCGAUUGUCUGCAUCUAAGAAAGUAGAGGCCUGGGUAUGGGCGGAUCUAGAGGUAUUCCCCAGUAUUCUUGAAAAUACUUAACUAUUUUGAUAUACUUUUAUGUAGAUAUGUGUAUAUACUUAUAUAUAUGAAUGUAUAAUGCUAUAAUCUAUAGUAUUUUUCCACAUUUGAGCUUAAAACAGGUAAAAAAACUAGUAUUUCAAUUAGAAGUUUAGAUUCUAGAAAGUAAAUAUUGAUUUAAAGUUGCUGAUUUACAGUGUUAUUAGCCAUAUUUUAAACCUAUAAAUUUGACCCUUUUUUUAUAACAUAGAAAUGGGAAUACCCAAGUUUCAAAUCCUAGCUUCGCCACUGGGUGUGAAGCAAACUAGCAUGAACAGUCGUGGCCAACACUCGAUUGCCAGUAUAGAGAGCUGCAUCCUACGAACUAAGGCCCUGUUUAGAUUGAGGAUGAAAAUUUUUUAGAUAUCACAUCGGAUGUGUCGGAAGGAUGUCGGGAAGGGUUUUUAAAACAAAUUACAUAGCUCGUCAGGAAACUGCAAGACAAAUCUAUUAAGUAUAAUUAAUUUAUCAUUAGCACAUGUGGGUUACUGUAGCACUUAAGGCUAAUCAUGGAGUAACUAGGCUUAAAAAUUUUGUCUCGUGAUUUUUAACCAAACUGUGUAAUUAGUUUAUUUUUUUAUCUAUAUUUAAUGUUUCAUGUAUGUGUCCAAAGAUUCGAUGGGAUGGAUGAAAAUUUUUUGGGUGAAUAACUAAACAGGGCCUAAGAGCCAUAGCCAUUCUCAUACGCAUCCAACACGACUAUAGAGAUAAGAGCAUAUGACCUAAGGACAUAUUUAACUUUACCUUAUUUUUAUAGACAACCCAGUAUUGGUAAAUAUGUAGCAGUUCGCAUAGUCACAAGAUAAUAUUGAUAAACUAAUUAGACGAUGUUUGGUUCAUGGACCGUGGUACCUAUAUUUAAGGGUACUCACAAUGUAGACUCUAUUAUAUAGUCUAAAGUUAUUUAUUACAUCGAACAAUGUGGACUUAGAGUCUAAAAAAGAUUUAGAGUCUUAUUUUUUCUAUAUCUUUUUCAAUAAAUAUGCUGCCACAUCAGCAAAAUACCAUAAAUAAUAUGUAAUUAAUUGUUUUAGAAUCUGUGAUAGAGUCUUGCAUUGUGAGUGCUCUAAUCAAAUUUUUUAAAAAGAUUGACUUCUCGAAGCAAGAGAUGUGCAGUUAUUUCUGGAUUGAGAGAGUUUUUUAUAUGUGUGGACACAAAAUUUAACUUCCGCUUGGAUUCAGACAAAGAAGCAAGACCCUCAAGCUAGCAACGACUCCUGCCUGGGUCCUGUCUAGCUAGGUUAGCAACCAAGAAUUGAAUCCUGACGCGUCCUUUGAAAAUGACCGCUAUGCAUGGUGAAGUAGCAAGUACUUGUGGUGUGCAUGUAAUGCACGCGUGGACGUACUACGCUGGAGAGCAGUUGUCAUCGUCGUCCAUAUUGGUCCAUCUAGGAGAAAAACUAAGGUUGUCUCCAGAGUGGACACAGGUGUGCCGCAUAAGUCUCAUUUAACAACAUGUGUAAUCACCCAAUCUGUAGGGGUUUUGAUUCGCUCUUCUUCCUCGUUGGACAGUUGAUAUGGAAAGAGUGGAACACAAGGAUUUUCAAUGGUGUCGCAACUCCGCCGACACAAAUGGACUGAAAGAUCCAGGAAGAGGUUGACAAUUGGUGUCCUGUGUUGACAAUUGGUGUCUUGCGCUAGCUUACGGCAUUGCGGGUGCUCAUGGCCUUCUCUUGAAUGGCCGAACCCCUUAGUCACUCAGUUUGUAUCCAUGUAAUCACAACUUCUUGUUUCAUCGGGCUAUGUAGCUUCAAUAACUUCGGAUUACCGUGGCAACUUUGUGUUGUAACAAACUCUCUUCUUUUUAAUAAAAAAAAUGUGCUAAGGCACGAUCGCGCGAAAAACAACAACAUGUGUAAUCUCUCUGUGUGGGGUGUCAAAGUGUGGGCAUCUCGCCCGCCUUUGGUCACACCAUGUAAAACUUGUUAUCCCCUUAAUGAAAUGCGUGCAAUGAUGUGCAUGUUUGUGAAAAAAGUGACCUCAUUUACCUCAUCCUUUCUAUUUUUCUCCAUCUCCUCUUUCUCCUUGUAUUCUAUUUGUUUUUUCUCUUCCUCUCCAUCCUCUCGAAGACGCGUUAACGCCCCUCCUCCCUCUCCCACUAGUGAAUCCAAAAAAUUUCCAGGCUUUUUACCAUGAGCUUUAAUAGCACUUGAUAGAGUGCACAGCUAUAUCCAAAUACAAAUAAUAGAUGUACUAGCCAAUGAAUGUGGAGGCAUAACACCAUAUAGAAGAAAAUACACAAACGAGAAUAACAUUAAGGCAUGAUAUUUUUUAUUAACGAGGUUUUUGCGAUGUGCCUAUAUCUUCGUGGCAUGCAUGCAUACGAGCGCUCCUCAUUAUAAACAAUAGGUACACCAACAUCUAGGCACUCCUGGGGCUUGUCACCGUCCAAAGUAGCCACCAAGUGCUCACUUUGUUAUAGCAAGGGAUUAUAUCAUUUUUAUGGCCUAUAGAUAUAGAGUUAGAUAGUCCCUAGCUAAUAUGACUCAGAUCGUAAUAUAAUUAAAACAUACGUAUAAAAUAUUCAACAAGUGGUGGUAUGCUUGGUGCUAGAGGCGGAGAGGUCGGAAGAGUUAGUGUGCUGAUAAAUCUUCGUUUAAUUUGCCGGAUCGGAGGAGGAAGAAAAGAAGGGCUUUCGUUCAAAAAAGUAUCCGCAUGCAGCUGGCUUUGCGCGGUAUAGGUAUAUGGUGGAUAUGCAGAAGCAAAUGUAUUAUUUAUGCAUCGAUCAUUGACCACAAGAAGUCAAGAACCCUUUCAAAAAAAAAAAAAAAAUUGGACUACCACCAGUGUACGUAAGGGUAGUAUACUAGCAUCAUUGUAGCUAGGCUAUCCAAUAUAUUCCACACCGACGACGACCAUGCCAUGCAUGCCCCCAAGCCAAAAGCCAAACCGUGUGUGCUGGAUAUAUCGGAUCGGAGAGAAAGAGAGAGAUGACAUGCAAUGCCAAUGCAUGCAUAUUCCGCCGAUCCCAUCAUCCCAUCUCGCACGUUCUCACAUACGAUAGAUAUAUCUACAUAAUACCAAAUUAAAACAGCAUGCAGUGGUUGGUCACCGGACGUACGGACUCAGCAUAUGCAUCAUGUAUGUAAAUGUACGUCAAUGGCGGUCUCUACGCUGCGCUGCCUGCUGCUGCUGGAAUAAUCCGGGUAUAUAUUUUCCGGACCACAGAGACUCACUUGGAUGCCUUCCAAUUCCAAUAUCCAUGAUGAUAAUCUAGUCUGUGAGCUUCGGUCGUCGGUAGCUUCAGUGUGAAAAUACGACAGAGAAAUAGGGGAUAUAGAGCUUUUAAUUUAGUACUCGAUCGGUAUGGAGUUUAUUACUUUUAUUUGAGGGUACUGACUUGCCUAUACGUACUAAACAAAGGAAGUGUGUGUGUUGGGUCCAGAGAACUAAAAGUAUAUGAGCACAGAAUUAUUUUCAAAAUAAAUUGAAAGGGUAUAAUAGUACUUUAGGUUAGCUACCCCUUAUAUCGUCUCUCCUUUCAUCUCUCUGAGCGCAACUAGAGAAAGAGGCCGUACGAUCUCUUGUCCAGCUUCUCCGCCUUCGCCUCGAUCUCCACCUGGAGCACCCUGGAGAUGUCGUCGGAGGCAGCCUGCUAGUGCUUGGUGUUCCCGGCGUGAUGAUGAUGCCAACCAACGAUCGAGGAUCCUGAAUCCCAGCAUGGCAAAGAUGGCAGGUCUUCUUAUUGGCGUAGUCUCGGACAUGAUGCAUGGUGACGUUGAGCGGCCGGGUAGUCGAUCGCCGCCGAUGCCAAAUUAGCCGAGCCGAAAGUGGAAGAAGCAUAGCGUUGGCGGGUGUGCUCCGGAAUGAGAGCCCAGAUCGAGGCGAGGGAGCAGACAACCAAUGUUAUGCUGUAGACGAUCGACGCUCUUCCGGUCAAGUCUGUCGCUGAGCCAGCUGAAGAAGAGCUAUAUAUAUAUAUAUAUAUAUAUAUAUAUAUAUAUAUAUAUAUAUAUAUAUAUAUAUAUAUAUAUAUAUAUAUAUAUAUAUAUAUAUAUAUAUAUCCCCUGAGAGCGUACCGCACAGUGUGACGCCGUUCACAGCGGCCGCGACGUUGGGUGGCAGCGUGGCCGUGUCCGGCUUGUAAGUUGGGGUCGAUGAUGUAGACGUGGUCGAGCUGCUAGCUAGCUAGAUGCAGAAGAGAGGUCGACACGUUGGCGAAGAAGCCCAUGCCCGCCAAAACGAUGGAAGAGUACGUCCAUCUUGUAUGAGAAGGCCCGGCCCGCUCGUUCUGUUCCCAGGCCACCACGCGUUCUACUUCUAGACUAGAGGCAGCAGGCCGCCUGUCUCGACUACAAAAUCCACCUAAACUGCAGUAUUAUUAAUUUCAAGCCAAUGGAUAUGUGGUUGCCUGGCCUGUGCAAUUGUGCAUCGUAGUAUACGAGGCCUUGUUUAGUUACACCUAAAUUUUUUUUAAAAAAAAAAUCAACAUUUUUGACACAUGCAAUCUUACAACACAUAUAUAUAGAGUAUUAAAUAUAUAUAUAAAAUAACUAUUUGUAUAGUUUUUUAUAAUUUGCGAGACGAAUCUUUUGAGCUCAAAUAAUUGUCAAAUACAAACAAAAUGCUACAGUACCCUAAUCCAAAAAUUUUUUUGAAUCUAACAAUGCCUGAAUAUAAUCUCCUCACUAUACAUGUACACGAGUCUAGUGAUCUAUAUCUAAUCUAUAAUUUUGAACUCCACUAGCUAUAUACUUCAAUAUGCAAGCUGUCCACCGCAGUAAUUCACUAUCUCCAUACUUAUUCCUCCUACUGGGCUGAUGGUUUAUCUUCUCUGUUGUAUGAAAGUUUGGGAUAGGUUGAAGGCCUAAAAGUUUGUAGGCAUUCUCUGAGCAUAUCGUACAUCUUUUAUUUGUAGAUGAUAGUCUUCUAUUCUUCUGAGCGAAUCAACAAGGGUCACUCCAUUGCAGUCAAGAAUGUUCUCAAUAUUUUUUAAGAGUGUACACAGUUGAGUCCAAGCAACUGUUUUUUGCUCGUGAGUGAAAAUUACUGUCCAAGCAACAGUUGAGUUGAGACGAGAGGCUGGAGGGUUCGAACCACCGGAUGUUAUUUGUCCACGUGGCAGUGGAUUAAGGUGUCUAUACACCGAGUCUCUCGGUGGAUUAGGACAGAUCAAAUGUGACAAUAAAAAACGAAGGGAGUAUUUAUCGGUAGAAAUUACUGGCCUUACAUUUAAUCAUAGAAAAUUCCACCGGUCAUCUUAAAUCUGUGUGCCGUACGUAUCAAGAAACCAUGCAUACUGUAAUCUACAUUAUUGUGGCCCUACACCGUCCAAUCAGACGUUAAGGCCUUGUUUAGAUCCAAAAACUUUUUAGAUUUUGACACUGUAGCACUUUCGUUUUUAUUUGACAAACAUUGUCCAAUCAUAGAAUAACUAGGCUUCAAAGAUUCGUCUCGUGAUUUACAGGUAAAUUGUGCAAUUAGUUAUCUUUUUUUAUCAAUAUUUAAUGCUCCAUGCAUAUGCCGCAAGAUUCGAUGUGACGGAAAAUCUUAUAAAGUUUUAGAUUUUUGGGUGCAUCCAAACAAGGCCUAAGACGAUCAUUUUCAGGUGCUUCCUUCAAACACGAUGGCUCUCAUACCAUGCAUCCCACUAGCUCCCCCUCACCCUCCCGCGUCAAUGUCAUUAAUAAACUAAAUUACUCUCUCUCCCUGAAAGCUGCAACUUAUAGAGCUGUCCUAAGUCAAACUUUUACAACUUUGACCAAAUUGAAAAAAACGCUAAGAUUUAUAGUACCAAAUUAAUACUAUUAAAUUUAUUAUAGAAUAUAUUUUCAUAAGAUACUUAUUUUAUGUCAUAGAUAUUGAUGCUCUUUUCUAUAAAGUUAGUCAAAGUUUGACUGACACGGAUUAUAGGAGUUGAAGCUUUCAAGGACAGAGGGAGUAUUACAUAGCAACACCUUUAGCUGGUAUUUUCCAAAUGACCCUCAUGUAUCCUUCAUCGCAGUAAUUACCUUGGACUUGGAGUCUGGCCUCUAGAAUUCUUAAAACACAAGAUUAGAAUAAAAAAUAUGUAGAAUUGGAAUUGCAUGAAAAUGCAAAAGAAAGUUUUCGUGAGAUCCAACCUCAUGCUAGUAAUCAGAAAAAAAUUCACACGUGUUGUUAACGCUUUGUUAGGGAUAAGCUAGGGUGGUAACCAGACAUGUAGCUUUAGUUUCUCUAAGAAGCAACUUGACCUUUGAGCCACAUCCAUGCAAUGAGUUUAUGGCUGGUGUCUAUACAAGGCAAAAUUAUGACCAGUAUUGUCUUUGAAGACAUGAUAUUUCAAAGAAAAAGGAAUUAAAUAUUUUUGAAAGUACUUUCCAUAGGUGAAUAUAAUUAUCGUGUAUAUAUUUUACACCGUGAGUCUGUAUAUAUAAUAUAUACGACUCGUUAUGCACCGAUGUGUGUGUGAACAAUACCAGUCUUAAUGGUAAGUUUUAUGACACAGUUACUAAGACACUGCUAGAUAUCUUUAGUGUCGUGUGACAUGUUUCAUCUAGAUUGAAAAAGCAUGUCAGUCUUUCUCUUCAUAAUUAAUAUGUCAACUCAACAAAAUUUGCUGAUGUGUCACAAACAUUACAUGAGAAUAAAACACCUUUGAAGAACCCAUUGAAACUGGUCUAGUAAUGGUUCAAGUUAAUGAAGCUUGACCGGCAAAAAGAAAAAAAAAACUGGACUAAAUUAAGGUGGUAUUAUCGUGCGUGUCAUCAUCAUGGCACCGUAGAGCCAUAUAUACAAGACUUGUAUUAUUGAGUGAAGACCAGCUCUUGCUUGGAAUAUCGUGAAAACGUUCUGUCUCCUUUGACUGGGAUAACAUUAACAUCAUGAAUGAAUUGAAGCAAGUAGCUAGGAUGACGUGGUCAUGCUCAACUUAAUUUCUAGUGCUUGUUUUGGAGUAGCGUACGUGGUGGGGGUCAGAGGACGAAGGUGGAGAUGAAAUUUAAUUAGUGGUCCGGUAUAAUUGAUGUGGUCAUGCUCAACUUAAUUUCUAGUCUCUAAACUUUCAAAGGGCCGGCAUAUGCAUGAGCAUGAUGAUAUAUGCAUGGGUCGAUGGGUGGUGGUUCCAGUCAGCGCGAGUCAGAUGAGACCGAGACGACCUGAAACAAGAAGCUGUUCGUUCUCUUCUUUCUCCAGCCCAAGGAAAAGAAGAAGAAGAAGAAGAAGAUUCGCAGAACCUUGCUGCCUGCUGCAACGCCUCUGACGCCCGUACGUGCACACGACUCACCCGCCAACCGCCAUCUAUAUCCACUCAAAAAAAAAAAAAAAAAAACCCUCACCCGCCAUUUACAUUGCAAAUGCAGAUGCUCCCAACUUUUUUUUUAUUAGCUCCAUGUGUACUUGUUUAAAAAAAAUUUCACUGCGCGCGCAUGCAUGCUUGUUUCUUGGAUCCAGUAUAUUUUCUUGGAUCAAACAUAUAUAGUAAAUAUUUGAUGAACUAGCUGCAAGAUAUAAUAUAUAUAACUAAAUUAUACGAGCUGACCACUAACCUAGCAUGGGAUGCCACUCAGGUUCCUUAACUCCGGACUUGUUUAGUUCCGAAAACUGAACAGUUUUCGAAACUGUAGCACUUUCGUUUUUAUUUGACAAACAUUAUCCAAUCAUGGAGUAACUAGGCUUAAAAGAUUCAUCUCGUGAUUUACAGGUAAACUGUACAAUUAGUUUUUAUUUUUGUCUAUAUUUAAUACUCCAUGCAUGUGGCGUAAAAUUCGAUGUGACGAAGAAUCUUGAAAAGAUUUUGAUUUUUGAGAGUGAACUAAACAAGGCCUCCCUUGAUACAUCUUCAUGUCUGGCAGCUUGUCUUAGGGCUUCUCCAGUGGCUUUGAUAAAAGCAACUCGCGCUCCUACGUGAAGACUGAAUGAGAUGACAGCGACCUGCGCGAACUUGUUGCCAGUGGAGACGACUGCGGAGACGGCCACGACCUCGCCAAUGGAGACAGUCGUGACCUGCGCGUCUCCGGUGAAGCGAACAGAAGCGAAGAGGAAAAAAAAGAAGGGAUGAGUCAGAUAUGGGUCCCACACCAUGUAGUAUGAAUUGACUCUUCAAUGAUUCGGUUUGGGAUAUACUCCAUACGUGGCCCUUUCUUUAUUUGUUCUUUAUUCGAUGAGCCGAUUCACCAUUGUGUAUAGAUGGCCAUGGUAAGGUGACAUCCCAUUGUGGGUGCCCUUACGAUGACACAUGAGGUCUGACCUUAAACUUAUCAUAGGUAUGUCACCUACUCCUAACUUCCACUUAUAGAGCACAACUUUGACCCUAUGGCUUCAACUAUUAAAGCAGACAUCAGGAUAUUCGAGGUGAAUGAUGAAGAAGCGUAGGGAUGGUUAACAACGAUGCGGUGAGAGACUAAUGUCUAGGGGAGCACGGAGAUAGAGCGUCGUCCACACUACUUCAACAAUACUUUUCAGCGGAUGAACAAUAUUUUUCUUUCGCAAUAUUUCAUCAUAAGCCAAAAUUCAUCGGAACAAACAGGAACGCUGCACGAAGCUUGUGAGGCCUGUUUGGAUAUGUAGGGAACUUACGACAAAUUUGGCCACCAAAAAAUAACAUUUUAAAAAGACAUGUAUUAUAAUUUAUAAGCCUUAACAAGCAGAGGCAAACCUAGACUUAGAGAAUGUGUAUUGAAACCUUGAAAUGAUAAAAAAGCUCGAUUGCAUAACCCUUUUGUUUUGGCAUGUAUAUAUAUAGUUAAUUGUAUCCUUGAAUACCAUUGAUUAGUGAAUGUAACAAUGUCCUCAAAUUAAUAAACCCCCCCCCCCACACACACACAAGCUCCAAUAACUGAUAGUGCAAUUUUGAGAGUUCAUUCAUGGAGACCUAGGUAGAUGAAAUGAAAUUUUGAAACAAUUUUAGAGCCCGCGAUGUGUUUUACUCAUAGUUCGGCUAGGCGGCGACUAGUCGCGACUAGGCGCUGGGCGAAGCCCGUCGCCUCGACUAGGUGGGUAGUCGCCCAUCUCGGCGAUAGGCGGAACUAAGGGGCGCGCGAGAUGGGCGUGGAAGCGACGCGGAAGCGGAUGCGGACGCACGCGCCCGCGGAAAUUUGCCGCAGCGAGCCAGGGCGCGAAGGUUUCCGCGCGGAGGCGGACGCCGAGGGCAUGCGCGCGCAGAUGGAAUCAGGCGCGAGGUCUUCCCCGCCGGCGCACCCCUCCCCGUCCCAUGGUCAAUCCCCUUCCCCUCCUCCGCCAGCGGCUGCUCUCCCCUGCUCCUCUCCCCUCCCAUGUUCUUCACCCCUCCCUCUCAGGCUGCUCCCCUGUCCCGUGUCCCCUCCCCUGCUCCCCGCCUCCUCUCUGAUUGAGUGUCUGUGACUGCAUGUCUCAUUGAUUGCCAAAACGCCUAGGAAAACGUCUAGGAGCGCCUAGGCGCGAGUACUCCCGACUAGGCGCUAGGCAAUGGGUCAGCGCCUAGAUUCCGCCUAGCGCCUAGCUAAACCUUGGUUUUACUCAACAUAGGAUACACACAUUAGCCUGUUCGAUUGUCUAUAUGUGGACUGGUCAUACUCUUCAUGAAUACAGUAUUGAUCAUACUCUCCUUGAAUGCAGCAGCACAUCAUUUGGUUGGUUGUAUGCUAGGCAAAUUGGGCCUUCUAUGUCUUCUAGGCAGGCAACCAAACACGCUAAUAGAGAACAUAGAAGGAACAGUAAGCCCAACAUGCAAAUUGGGCCUCUACUUUUUCCAUUUGCAUGCUGCCCUGUAAAAAAUAGGGACCCAAAAUCUAUUGCAACUCUAGCACAAGCCCCUACAAGGAGCUCCAGGUACGCAAGGUCGAUGAGGUUGCCGUGGAAGUAGUAGGACCUCAUAGUGUUGUGCUAGUCGGGAAUGACGGGCACGGCCGCCGCCGACACGGGCAGGAGGCCGUUGUUGUCGUCGCCGCCGGCGUAGCAGACUAGGCCUCGUGAGACGAACACGGGGAUCUGCGGGUCCGGCUUCGGCGGCUGGUUGGCGAGCGUGACCAUGUGGUAGUGUGUCGGCGGUGCGUCGCAGUCAUCAGCACGUCAAUCGUCUCGCCCAGCGCGACAGUGACCAUGUUCGUCUCAAACAACGUCAGGUAGUUGCCGUCGGCGCCGGCCGCCCUAGCUGCGUGCAGGUGCUGCUGGAGACGCGGAACCUCCGGGUGAAACGCGGAGCCUCCAGGCAGGUCUACACCCACCUCCCUCUCCUUCGACGGCGGCCUCGUCCUCACCAAUAGUGCGGCCCACAAGGUGCCCUGGCCGACACACCAACAACGCGGAUCAUGACGGCCUGCGGCCUGCUCGUGAGGUGGGAGAUGGAGGCCGGUGGACUGCGGCCUGCUGCUCGACGACGCCUGGAGAGGAGGGGGCGCUCGCAUGAAGGGCGAGGAGGAGGCGGUGGGAGGGCGGCGCGGUGGCAUUGGGGGCGUCGGAGGAGAGGGAGAGGAUAGGAAGGUCCUGUUCUUGGGGGCCUGUAACUAAAAUUUGGGAGUACUCGUAAAAUGAGAGCCCACUUAGGAGGUAAUUAGAAUUGUUUUUUUACUCAAGCUCUUAAAAUUUAGAAUGUAGGCCUAUUUAGAACUCCAUUGGAGUUGCUCUAAGAGCAACUCCAGCCCAGCAUGCAAAUUGGGUCCCUACUUUUUCCAUUUGCAUGUUGUUGAGCCGUCCUCCUGCUAGCCUUCGGCGCCAUCACCUUCCUUCUCAUCCGCCACUGCCUGGCCGCCCUGCGCCGUCGACCCUCCGUCGACGCCGACCUAGAGGCACGAGCUCCAGUAGCGCCUCGUCAUCGUUAGCCACAGCCAGCGGCGGCAGCGGCCAAGCCCAAGUAGCAGCAGCAGCAGCAGCAAGCGUUACUAAUAGCAGCCGUCAAGAAAGAGGCGCAGCAGCAGGUGGAGGCGCUGACCGGUGGCUUCGACGAGGCGGUCGUGGUGGGCCACGGUGGCUCCAGCACAUGUACCUCACCAGACUCAUGGACAGCUCACCUAUCGCCGUCAAGGUGUACGGCUGUUGUUCGAGAGGAUCCUAUUGCUAGGGACUCAAAACUAAAAUUUAGGAGUGCUUUUCAAAUAGGAGUCCUAUUAAAGUGAAUUUUUUUACGAUUUAGAAUAGGGACCUUGCUCUAAAGAGCCUAACCGAAGCCCCCUACAUAUACGAAUUCAAAAACCGUAAACGACCCUAGUUCGUAGGAAGUUUCCAACCGACUUGAACGAACUCGCGUCGAAUUCCAUUCCAUUGAAAACACGCGACGCGAGCGUCCUCCAGUCCAAGUCCGUGUCGUUCUACCUAGCGUGCGUGGACCAACCAAUAACCGCAUAUAUAUAUAUAUAUAUAUAUAUGCUGCCACGCCCACGCACAUACCGUAUUCAUCAGCUGAUGACAAGAGAGACCAGCAGGGCGGGGGCGCUCCGCUGACUGAUCAGCCCAGCCCGCCUCGCCCGCGUUUUCUUCUUCAUCAUCAUGGGCCAAUCGCCAGCCAUGCAGCCGCCCUCGCCGCGCCGCCGCGCCACCACCAGGGCCCUACUGCGCCUGCUCUUCCUCGUCGCCCUCUCCCUCGCCGCGCUGCUCGCCUUCGUCACCUCCACCCCGUCCUCCUCCUUCUCCACCGCGCGCCGCGCCCUGCAGCUCGUGCCGCCGCGCCGCCACCGCCAGCCGCUAACCACCCUCCGCGCCGUCCGGAGGGACGAGGACGAGCCGGACAGGCCCACCUCGCCCGUCGUCGCCCCGCGAGCGGUGGGGCAGGGCCACCACCGCUCGUCGGACCUCGACGCCGUGCUGCUCCCGGACUGGGAGGUCCUCGUCCUGCUCCGCCCCGGCGACGACGACGACGCGCCCCCCGGCAACGCCACGUGCGCGUUCCCGGCCGGGGCCACGUCCCCGGCGCGGUCGCUCGGGAGGAUGCCCGCGUCCGGCCGCCGAGCCUACACGUGCGCCAUGCCCAGGCCGGAGCGCCGCCACAGCAGGCCCUUCCGCGCGCCACGCCUCGUCGUCGUCGCCGCCACUACCACGCUGUCGUCGUCGUCCUCGGAGGAAGAGCGGUCGUUGACGCCGGAGAUGAUGCGUUGGAGCGGCCGCCUCGUGUACGACUCCGCCGCGCUCGCCGCCGGCGGCGACGUCCUCGUGUUCGCCAAGGGAGUCAACGCGCGCCAGGGAGUCAACCGCGACGCCACGGACGUCCGGUGCAUCUACUACCGCCGCGGCAUUAGCGGCAGCGCCGCCACCGUCGUCGCCUCGCUCCCGGCCUCUACCUCGGCGCAGCAGGUCUUCCGGUGCCCCCCGCCGCCAAGCACUGCCGCCAUGACCAUGACCGCGUCCCCAGCCGAGGCGCAGCAGCUUCGCGUCACGAUCGCCGUCGCUGGCGAGGACCCCAUCCCCUCGGUGGCGACCUACACCCCUCCUCCUCCUCCUCCUCCUCCUCCACCAAAGAAGAAGCUCAUCUGCGGCUGCACCAUGGUCCGCGACGUGGCCAAGUUCCUCCGGGAGUGGGUGGUCUACCACGCGGCGGUGGGCGUCGACCGCUUCUACCUCUACGACAACGGGAGCGGGGAUGACCUGGAGGGCCAGGUGCACCAGCUCAGCGCGGAGGGCUUCCACGUAUCCACACACGCGUGGCCCUGGCCCAAGACGCAGGAGGCCGGGUUCUCCUACACAGCCGCGGUGCACCGAGAUUCGUGUGAGUGGAUGGCGUUCAUCGACGUCGAUGAGUUCAUCUUCUCCCCAGACUGGGCUGGGUCGAGCAAGCCGACCAAAUCCAUGCUCCGGUCCGUUGUCACCGCCGUCAAGCCUAACAUCGGGCAGGUCACGCUAGGGUGCAAAGAUUUCGGGCCCUCAGGGCGGACCAAGCACCCCAAGGAGGGAGUCACCCAAGGGUACACGUGCCGGAGGCGAGCCGAGGAGCGCCACAAGUCACUCGUUAGGCUCGACUCUGUGGCCCCAUCACUGAUGAACUCUGUCCACCAUUUCAAGCUUCGGCCCGAGUUCAAGUGGGAGCGAUCGAGGGCUGUGAGGGUGAACCACUACAAGUACCAGGCUUGGGAUGAGUUCAAGGUCAAGUUCCGCCGCCGUGUGUCCACCUAUGUGGCGGACUGGACCGACCGGGUCAACCAUGGGUCCAAGGACCGCACACCCGGCCUAGGGUUCGAGGCGGUUGAACCAGCCGGGUGGCCACACAAGUUCUGCGAGGUGGAGGACACCCUGCUCCGGGACGUGACACGGAGGUGGUUUGGUGUUGGAUUCACCAAUAAGCUUGCUCAUCACCGGCCGGUUGGAGGGACAACUCACAGCAGCUCAUAGUAUUAGUUUUGGUAUAUACUCUUUAUUAAUUGGACACGGAAACAUACAUGUAUAUUAUACAGAGUAGAUUAGGGAGAAUUCAUUUUGAUUCUUUCAACAGACAGGGUUUUGUUAAUCAUUUUUUAUGUGAUUUAACAAAGGUGUACAAAGACGGUUAGGAGGAGGUGUAACUUCCAUGUGAUUAUUUAUGCCUUUCUUGUUGCAGCGGAUUGGCACUGGCAAGAAAUGUGUACAAAAAGCUAACUGAUCAGUCGUUGCUUACCUUCAAUUCUUUGUUUGUAUUCUAUAUAAUAUAAUAUAUAAUCAUGCAUGCAUGAUACAGUAUGCUUCCAUGUGAUUGGCAGGUGGAAUAAGCAUCAUGUGAAUGUGAUGUUGGCAUCAGCAUAUAUGCUAACGUGUAUGCGAUGAUACCUGGCCUUGUUUAGUCCCAAAAAAUUUUGCAAAAUUUUUUCAGAUUUCCCGUCACAUCGAAUCUUUAGACGCAUGCAUGGAGUAUUAAAUAUAGACGAAAAUAAAAACUAAUUGCAUAGUUUGGUCGAAAUUGAAGAGACGAAUCUUUUGAGCCUAAUUAGUCCAUGAUUUGACAAUAUUUGUCAAAUACAAACGAAAGUGCUAUAGUGUCUGUUUUGCAAAAAUUUUUGGAACUAAACAAGGUUAUAUAAUAAGGAAAAAAACUAGAUAGUUGUAGUCAAGCAAAGUUACAUUCUCCAUGAAACAGAGACAAUGGCGCUACUGUAGCACUUUCAUUUGUUUAUGACAAAUAUUAUCUAAUCAUGGACUAACUAGGAUCAAAAGAUUCGUCUCGCAAUUUACAGCUAAACUGUGCAACUAGUUUUUGUUUUCGCCUAUAUUUAAUGUUUCAUACAUGUGUCGCAAGAUUCGAUGUGACAGGAAAUCUUGAAAACUUUUUGAUUUUUGGGGUGAACUAAACAAGGCCUAAACAAGGCCAAAGUUACAUUCUGCAACUCCAUGAGACAGAGACAUGGCGCCUCUCUUUCAGGAGAUGGUUGCACGAGGAACUUCAAAAUCUGCUCAGAAGACUUCAGGAUAUUAUUGUCCAUAGAUACAAUACUAACCUUGAAAAUGAUAAGGCAAGUUGGAACUGGGAGAAGUCUGGACGCUUGUCGUUGAGAUCUACGUAUAAACAUCUCUGUAGUAAAAAGUUUGGGGACAGCUUCAGGAAAUUUUGGAAAGCUAAAAUCCCUCUGAAAAUUAAGAUCUUUAUAUGGUUGCUAGAAGAAGCAAUUCUUACUAAAGAUAACCUUUGUAAACGUAAGUGGAAAGGCAACGAAUAUGUGCCUUCUGCACAGAUAAGGAAAGUGUGCGUCACAUUUUCUUUGAAUGUGCGACAGCCAAAUUUCAGCGAAGCAGUACUUUCUAAUGAAGGAACAGUAUUUUUCUUCCCACAACAUUUCAACAUCAGCGCAAAUCAAAUUUCAGCAAAACGAACGGGUUGACUGUAGACCAAGUAACUUGGACCAAUACUGGUUUUGUAUUAGUAAUAGUUUGCCCCAAGGUCAGCAGGUGUACGCUAUGGGGCUGGCAGCUAUAUGUUAGGCCAUUUGGAGAACUAGAAACUCUAUUUGUUUGAAACAAAUAGAACGGCAAACCUUUGUUUGUUUGGAACUCUAUUUGUCUCUUCAAGAAGACUGCGGCCUUGUUUAGUUCCCAAAAAUUUUGCAAAAUUUUUCAGAUUUUUUGUCACAUCGAAUCUUUAGACGUAUGCAUGGAGUAUUAAAUAUAAAUGAAAAUAAAAACUAAUUGCACAGUUUGGUCGGAAUUGUCGAGACGAAUCUUUUAAGCCUACUUAGUUCAUAAUUAGAUAAUACUUGCCAAAUACAAACGAAAGUGCUACUAUUUCUAUUUUGCAAAAAAUUUUGGAAGUAAACAAGGCCUGCACUGUGUUUUCACAAGAAGGAUGCCGAGAAGAUUGCUCAUGAAGAUAGCCAGUUGGCGCCUUUCGUUGUCUAGCUGUGAUCUUUUUAGCCAAAGUGGCUAUCUUCAUGAGUUUUCGCUGUGUUGAACACUCGGAGUCAGAUCCCUGUGUGAUCGGUUUUACUCUUUUCAAUCAGUAGUUUCGCGUUUAUCUUUCCGUUCACAAUGCAACUCUGUAAUUUCAGUAGAAUCGUAAUGAAUUUCGGCUUAGGCUAUUAUGGAAACAAAAAAACAUUCUGCAACUCCAAAGGCCGACAGAUGUAGAGUAUCUUUCUAUUCCAACUUCAACUACAGGGGAAAACACCUUCUUUAUCAAUACAAAGCUCUUGCCGGUAGCUUAAAAAAAAGGUGGGAGUGGGAACACACCUUCUUCAGUCAAAGGCUACUUAAGAUUUUUUUUUGAGGGGGUCAAAGGCUACUUAAGAAAGAGGCUGAUAGAGGAAUUCCUAGAUGAAAGCCUGACGGGCCAAACUUAAGAAGAAAGCCCAUGUAAACACGGCCUAUUGUCUUGCCAAAGUCUUGGGCCGAAUAGGAUUGUUGCAAAGAGGCCUAUUAUAGUAUACGCACGUGUAAAUAUAUACACUAUAAACAUACAUACAUUUAGAAUACAGAUAUGAUAAUGGUCUCAAAAUGGGAAAAAUAUUUAUUUAGCUGGCUUACCUCAAGGGAAGAAGAAAACUCUGGUACAUAUACAUAUGUGAGAGUAGUAUAUACUCCCUCUAUCCCAAAUUAAAUCAACUUCUAGACCCAAAUUAAAUCUAACUUUUAUAGUUAUUUUAAGUUUGACUAAAUUUAUAGGGAAAAAAGCACUAAUACAUAUUUUUAUAUUGUAUAUAUAUACUUGUUUUGGGACGAAACUCCAUGGUAACUUGGCAUAAUGCCAUGUACUAUCACAAUGCACUGUACUCUCCGAGAGACAAGCCAAAUGUCCCUUUCCAGAAGCCAUGAUUUCAAGUGCAUGGAUAACACCAUACUACUGUUGAGUGCUUCCGGAUGCAAGUCUCUCUCACCCACUUUUUUGUGGCUUUAAAUCAGAGGCAAAAUGCAGUAAUGAAUAGUCUGCUUCCAUGGAAUUGGUUUGCGGCACUGAAUUUCAUUCGUCGAAAUCCGCAGUAUCUUUUUUUUUUUUUAAGAUCCGGGAACGAAUUGUUCCGGCUUUUUUGAAAAAAAAAAAAAAUCUGCAGUAUACUGUACUAGUAGAAAUAAGAGACGCAUUCAUGCAUGCUAAGAGCAUUAUGGUAGCAGCAAUCACUCCAAGGUACAUGGCUGGUUGCCGCCGUUGGUUAUUGGCAAAGUGGUAGCGUGCAUCACUGGGCAUUCGGUGUAAUUGGGUGCCGACAUGGUAGGUUGUAGUGACCCCCAACCUAUGAGCACUUGUGUUAUUGUCCUUCUAAUUUUGCUGACCCACAAUAAAUGUUUAGCUACUUCCAUUUUUUUUUUACAAUGACAAGCUUCAUUCUCAAAACUACAAAACUUGUUUAGCUACUUCCAUCCUUAUUCUUUUUUUACAACGACAAGCUUCAUUCUCAAAACUACAAAACCACCAAACUAGGUUGCUGCUAGUUUCUGACACAUGUUUUUUUCCCAGAACAGUUAAUUGUACCAAGUAACUUAUUAGAAUUGUAACCAUUGAUGAAAAAUCUCUAGAAGAUGGUCCAGCUACUUCUUACAUACUGAAAAAGAAAAUUGAUGGACAACCACUGUAUGAGUGACACUAAUAUCUAACCACCAAGUGCCAGAUGACUAUUCUCCAUCUAAACCAAAUAAGUGAGAUGAGAGAUAAGUGAGAAGGAGUCAACAACUUACCCAAUACCAAUCCAGGACCAGUGCCCCCUCAAAAGGUCCAAAGAAACCAAACAACCUGACUUUCUGCAAAGUUUCACAUGAUAUCAAUAUACUCUGUUGUUGGCCAUCAAGUUUAUUUUUUGAUCAUAAUGGUAACAAAUAACCUUUAAGAGCUUUAGUUGGUAUAGCAUCUAAUCCAUGGAAACUCUAGGAGGAAGGAAUGCACUGUGACCGUUUUAAACAGUGUAUGACCUGAUACGUGUGUGUCAGUACCAUGACAGCACCAACGAGUUAUUUAAUUAUAUUUUCUAUAAACAGCGGCCGCGUCUAUAUAUUAUCAACAGAAAACCUUGCGGCUAAAAGAGAAGAAUCCUGCACACGACACUGAUAUUUUAUAAAUAGGUAGCACAUCCAUCACACGACAGGAUAAACAUGAGCGGAAAAUAACAAAUAUGUAUUGCAACAAGAAAGAACAUUGUACUUGGAAACAGAUAAAGUAGAUGACGAGUGCCUGAAAACCGCCGUGCAGGCCAGGGCAUGCUGCUCUUUGAGCUCAACACGUGUGAGUGUGAACCACCACAGCCAAGCGCCAACUACCCACAGGAAACAGAUUGGUGGAUUCAGUACUGGCCUUUUGAAUUCUGGUCAUACACAGAAACAGGGGUCAUAUAUUGCUUCGAAAGGUCAGGUCGUUGCUUACCGCUUUUGUUUUUCACAAUCCAGCACGCCUUGGUUUCGUUCAGAUAUGGCUGAGUUUCCCGGGGCCUGCAAAACCAGCACACUCCAGUCAUAACAGAGUAAAGAGCGCUGCCUCCUGUUUUCGGUUCUAGUAUAAGCCUGUUGCGUUCCUGAGCGAUAAGCACACUAAUCCAUACAACCAGUGUCAACAGUACGAGAGCCUGUUCCAAAUCUCACACAGAUCAUGGACCAAACUAAUUAAAAGCUAUCCUGAGAUGAUGUACUAAAUAUUUCGCCAAAUAUAGAGGACGUCGGGGGUGAGGAAGGGACCCUAGUCACAUGCAAAGUAAUAUAACCUUGUAACUAAACAUGAUGGAACUCUGGCAGAAGAAUGACAGACUGCAGAGCACCUGGUUGCAGCCAAUAAUGCAAAGACUCUGUGGGCUCCUUGUGCUUUUGCUCUCCUUCCAACCUUCUCCCUAUAAAUACAAAGGCGUGCGCAAGGCAGAACCAUCAGCUAAGAUAGUUGCAAACAAGCGAGUUACUUACAACCAACCAAAGGAGUAGAAACCACCUGAAGCCAUGUGCAUUGCUGCAUGGAUUUGGCAGGCUCACCCUGUGCACCAACUCCUCCUGCUUCUCAACAGAGAUGAGUUCCACAGCAGGUGCGUGAUCUUGCUUGGUUUUAUUGAUCUGUGUAGGACCCCAAUCUGCAAGUAAUAGUUCUGCCAUAUGAGGUACUAUUUGGAAAAUUGGGUACUUUUUUCCCUCCUAACUUAUACGUUCACUGACAGAAUUCCCAUGAACCACACUGACAUAUGUGAUGAUACUGUUCAUAUUGUGCAUGCUCCUAUCAUUCAUUCAGUUCUCAGAAACAAAAUGCUGCUAGAGAAACCUACAGGCUAUAGAAAGGUUACCCACUGCAAAACAACAAUGCUAGCUGUUCAGUGUUCAUCACUUUGUAUCUUUUUUCUUGAACUGAUGCAGGCCUACAAAAGCAGUAGGAUGGUGGGGAGAAGGCUCAAAGAAGAUUCUUGGUGGCAGGGAUGUGCUUGGUGGAGGAACAUGGAUGGGGUGCACCAAGGAUGGAAGGCUUGCCUUCCUGACCAAUGUGCUUGAACCAGAUGCCAUGCCCGGUGCACGGACUAGGGGAGAUCUGCCUCUCAGGUUCCUGCAGGUAUAUAGCAAAACAUAGCAACAGCUUAGCUGAUCUAGGUGAUACCGAGAAAGAUAGAUUCAUUUCUUGUACAACCCAAGUUCUUGUUUUCCAUCAUACUUCUGCUGUCCCCGUCAUUCCUUAGCAGCUGAUUUGGUCACUGUCUGACAAAACCUUUGUUUUGUCAGUGUCUCAGUGAUUGGUGUAGACACUAGACAGUGCACAUAGGAACAUAUAUUCACACCGCAUUCCCAUUAUAAACCAAAAAAAAAAAUCCAUUGAAAACACUUUAGUGGUUCAUAAUAUUACAACUGAUAACUCUAGCAUGUAUUGUAAGAACAUAUGAUUAAUCAACAUGAAAUUAUCUUCUAUGUAAAAUUGUUCCUGAAUAGCACACACAUAAUCAAGUCUGUGCGGUGCAGAGCAACAAGAGCCCACUCGAAGUUGCAACUGAAGUGGCAGAAGAAGCUCAUGAAUACAAUGGCUUCAACCUCAUACUAGCUGAUCUAACAACAAAUAUCAUGGUCUAUGUGUCAAACCGGCCUAAGGGGCAGCCUGCAACAAUUCAACUCGUCUCACCAGGACUCCAUGUGCUGUCCAAUGCAAGGCUAGAUAGCCCUUGGCAGAAGGUAAGCAGAGAACUUUCAUGUUCAACAAGAUUUGUAGAUAGCUAAAAAACUAAAAAUGCCUUGCAAAUAAAAAUGAACAGGAUGAUUUUAUUCGGUAUAGUGGGUAGCACAUAUUGGUAGGUACAAAACUAGAAAUGCUGAAUGCCUAUGAGGUGUCAUGUUAAUUAUUUUAUUUUUAGCUGCACUAAAAUGAUGGAUCACAGAGAAAACAUUGAGCUGGGAAAAGCGUGAGAAAGGUACAGGUGAACCAUCUAAAGUACUUCCCUAGUAAUAAGCAACAUUGCAUUUAACUCAAUUUAUAGCACAGCAUGUGCAAGAUGUAAGAUAAGAUGACAAUGCAUUAUUGCAACCUACUCUGUCUCUCAGGGACCAUUCAUCAUACCAAGACCAUUAUUCAUGAAGACAGUGUGAAGUACCUAAAGGGAUUUUUUUUUUCAUUGUUGUGUAUGCACUUGUAGGCAAUUCGCCUCGGUAAAAACUUCAGGGAGCUUCUUAGGGAGCAUGGUGGCGAUGAGAUUGAAGUGAAGGAUAUAGUUGAGAGGCUAAUGACUGACACCACAAAGGCUGACAAAGAUAGACUGCCAAAAACUGGUUGUGAUCCCAACUGGGAGCAUGGUCUGAGCUCCAUCUUCAUCGAGGUGCAAACUGACCAAGUGAGAAAAAUCUCUUGAUUCAGGGUUCAACUGGUUGAAAAAACUAUAUCAAUUGUCCACUUAUAAAUAUCUGUGUACAUAAAGAUAGGCUAAUACUUCAGAAAUGAACUUAUGAAUUCUAUUUUGGUGAAGGGUCUCUACACACACACACACACACACACACACACACACACACACAGAUAUAUAUAUAUAUAUAUAUAUAUAUAUAUAUAUAUAUAUAUAUAUAUAUAUAUAUAUAUAUAUAUAUAUGUGUGUGUGUGUGUGUGUGUGUGUGUGUGUGUGUGUGUGUGUACACAAAAUUAGGCUAAAUGGCUAAUACUUCAGAAAUGAACUUAUGAAUUCUGUUUUGGUGAAGGGCCUCUACGGGACACGGAGCACAGCUGUUUUAUCAGUGAACUAUGAUGGUGAAGCUAGCUUGUACGAGAAGUACCUUGAGAGUGGUAUAUGGAAGGAUCACACAGUGAAUUACCAGAUAGAGUAGUAGGCAAUGCACAGGAAAAGCUGGCAACCAAAAAUAAAUAGAGACACAAUUGUGAAUUUCAUUCUUUCCCUGAUCCUGAGUCACCUUUCAGAACUAUCUAAGAUCCCAUCAUGAUGCCAAUUACAUUAUUUACUGUAAGCAGAUUUGUCACUUGACAAUAAAAUGUCAAGCAGAAGUGUAAGUUUAAAUAUAUACACCAAAUAUAUAAAUUUACAGACUUUGUGUAAGAUCAGUUUUUCUUGCCUUCUUGGACAUGUUUACUCGAGAAAUCUUAGCAAGCUAUUGUAUGUUGAGUUCUGUUGUAUUAAAGGUUAAUUCACUAACAUAAAGUUACUGUAAGAUAUGAUACAUUUAAGCUACUGAAAUUAUAGAAUAUAUCAACAACAUAAAAAAACGAUGCACGUAUGCGUAAAGAAAUGCAUCUGGUGUACCUCAUUUGUUCAAUAUGCUCCAGACCUCCAGUGGUGUCGGUCAUGCAGCUCCAGAGCCUAAAAGGGAUUUUAAAGAAUAACUAUACAAAUGUUCUUGUGAAGUCUGCAGUCUAGUGAGUUCUGUGAUGAUGUUAUCCAAGAUAUGUAGAAACUGAGAAUCACAACAAAGUACCAUCAUAGAGUUGCAAUUGCAAUAUUCAUGUUCAUUAACAUGAGUAUACAGAAAUAUGAAGCUCUUCAGUCAAGAUUUCAGCUUGUAGACAAGCAAGCUACAAAGAAUUGUAAAGCUUAGCACUACACCCCAAUAGCUAAACACUACACCCCCACUUGCAUGCUCUUGUUCUUCGUUGCUUGUUACUUCUCUGCAAAAUUUUUGUCUUUGCCCAUCCCUGCUGGUUUCUUCUCUGCUUGGUUUGUCUUGUUGUUCACGGCACUGCUGUGGUAUCCAUCUCGUGAUCAUCCUCUCAUGAACAAUCAUCUGUUCCAAACAAUCCAAGGAUCCCAGCUCGGAGCUCUCGGUGCUGAUGGUCAGAACAAGUACCGUCUUGGCCACACUUCCAGAGGCCCGAAGCGCACAGAGUAGUUCAGACCAGACCUUCAUGCGGCUACACCUAGUGCCGAAUGCUUUCCCUUCUGGAACCACAGUCACCGCAAACUCCGAGUGCACAAGUGCAGGAUGAUGACGGUAAGCUACAAACUCCGCCCCGUACUGCAAUCCUGACUUUACAACCCAGUUCUUCAGCCUAAGGUGCUGAUACGCCUUGUAAAUCUCCGGGAAUCGCUCCGAGGCGGACGCCAAGAGAUCCCACAGCUCCGGCGCACCUAUCCGCGCCUUCUUCUCCGACUCAACCGUGACGCACUUGAGGGCAUGGCAAAGGAAGAACACCUCCUCAGGGCCCAGCUGGAACCAGUGCCUCUCCGCCGCGCCUGUGCCUGCACUAGACACGGCGCGGCCAAAGGAGGCGCAGUUCAGAAGCUUUGCUUGGCGUCGCCCGACCAUGAGAAUCGCGUCCCUGGUGUGCGCAGCUAGAGUCGCCACGGCUUCUGAGUCCCUCAGUGAAGCCUGGAGCUCGGCGACUAUGCUGGACAUGGGCUUUUCUGCUGCGAGUGCUGCGAAGUCCUUGCCGUCCUUGCCCUUCUUCCAUCGGGGACCUGGCAAAUCCAUGAGCUGAUGGCAGCACACGACAUGAGAUUUGAUGGAAAUCGGUAAUCCACAAAUCUAAGGGCAUGACAUCUACACCUUGUGCAGGAGCAAGAGGCCGGCCGUGUAGCUGCUUGCCGCAGGAGGAGCGGCGCCGUUGGGCGGGGUCGCAGGGCCCGCCGGUCUGGAGCGGGACAGGGCCGUGAGACGCGGCGUUGCCCUGGAGCCGGCGCGGUCUGAUGCAGCGGACGACCGCGGCGGCUAGGAGCAGGAGGGGCUGUCGGGUCGGGCAGUGGCGGCUCGCCGGCAUAUGGACGCUCCAACUCCAAGGUGCGGUGCGGUGCGCGCCGCCGCUCCAAGGUGAGCGAGGAAGUAGUCGGCACGGUGGAGGACGUGGGCUACUGGGCUGGGCCUCAGCUCUUUUAUCUUGAGUGGGCUCGUCUGGGCCACUGUGGUGUCGGAAUGGGCUUUGAUCUUCUGUUCCAAUCUGACAGUGGAAUUUGUUCCGGGUCGGCCCAAAAUCAAAAUGGAUGUUUUCCGGUUUAAGUGAAAAAUCUUGCGCCAAAUCAAUCCCUGCAAAUACUUCAUGAAAACGUGCCGUAAUGGGUUCCUGUUCUGCAAGGACUGCAUAGACCUGUGGGCACUUUUGUGUAGAGCAGUGUGAGAUUUCCUAAGACGUGGAUAAGUAAAAGAUUACAAUCCAACUAUGUGUUUAUUCGCUGUAAAGAAGAUGGUUUGCUGCUUCAUUAUGAUUGUACAGGCAAUUAUAUAUGCAUUCAUUGGUCUAUUAUUUGCUACUUGUACCAUUAUACAUGCCUUAGGGCUUUACUAAUCCGUUCCAGUUCCAGCACACUGACAAUAAUUGAGUUGACGCUCUUUGAAGUGAAGCAGUUGGCAGCCCUCCUUUGAGCAAUACAUAAAACCACUCUUGGCCUUGUGGGGCACAUUUAUCUUCCUGUUGCUCAAAUAAAAUAAAAUAAAACCACUAGCAGUACAACCACAAUGGAUACAAAUGUACACGAUUUAGUUUGUGCAGUAAGUUUUCUUUUGCAAAUAAAUGCGCAGUAAGGUCAUUGCAUAUUACUUCCUCCAUCCGAAAUUGUAAGUCAUUCCAAGAAUCUUGAAGAGUCAAACUUUUCUAAGUUUGACCAAAUUUAUAUGAUAAAAUAAUUAUUCUUAUGAUACUAACUAAGUACAUCCUUAAUUAUAUUUUCAUAGUAUAUUCACUUUAUGUUACAAAUCUUAGUAUUUUUCUCUAUAAUUUUGAUCAAACAUUAAAAUGCUUGGACUCUCCAAGAUUCUUGGAAUGACUUACAAUUUGGAAUGGAGGGAGUAGCUAUUUACAUGGACACGGCAUAACAUUUAGGUAUGUUUGGAACACAGGAAUUUGACCCUAAUCUACAUUCUCCCUUUAAAACUGAAUUAAUCCCGACCCUAUACAGUUUUUGUGUUCCAAAACAGCCCUUAGUUUUAAUGAGGAGGGUAGAGUCAGCAAUAACUUGAUUUUCCUUUGUAAAAAAAAAAAAAUCAACAGUAUCCAAACCUCAAGCACAUGUUGGUGAUCGUUCCUUUUUCACAAUGAUUGGACUAUCUUCUUUUUCUUUGGCAUGUCUUACAAAUGUUAUUGCCCCUUUUGCAUGUAAGGACGAUUGAGGUCACUAUACCAUGACCAUGGAAAAAUGGGACAUCUUCGACCCAUGGACCACUUUGGGUUCUUUGGACUUGGGUUGACUUUUGAAAGAUGCUAGUUUUCCUAAGAACACCACUCUUUAGCAAACCUUUUAUUCACACAAGAAAUGAGAGUACUAUCUUGUAUGCUAAAAACACUGCCCUUUCUGUACAUAAAGGACUAACAUGACCAUCGAAACAAAACUUUGUUCCAAAUUGGCCACUGCUCUUCUCACGCAAAACUAGAGUGGUUCUCUCUUCUUCUGCAAGUGGUUUAAAACAUCUUCGUAGGUAAAGAGCGAUCAAUAUCAUAGCACUCUCCAAUUAAGAUAAUCACACAAUGCAAUUGCCCACGCCUAUACAAUGCAAGUUGUUUGCCGUAUUGUGAGGACAGAUGAAGAAUACAUCUGGUCUAUAAGUUUUAAAACUCUGUAUUACAUACGCCGUCACCUGACCUCCUUUAGAAUGCAGGCCUCCCUGUUUCUUGCGUGUGUGUUUUUCUUCUGUGAAAAUCCAAAGGCACCCUGUGUUAAAACUAGUUGCUUUAAUCAGCGGUUGUAGAAUGCAGAUAUUAGGUUCAGCCAAUGCAACAGGCAAACACUCUUUGCUUGAUUUUUCAGUAUAGGUGUCCAUAUCCAUAAAUAAAUUAGAGGUAAAAGUUCAGACUCACAAUGUAAUAAGCAGGGAGGCUCCUUCCUUUCGUUCUGUUAGAGGACGAAGACAAUAACGAGUGGUGAAAUUACAAGGGUCGUAUCCAUCCAUGUACCAGAAUUAUACCCUACAACGAUGAUGUUAUCCUACAAGAUCAUCCGAAUGAACCUGGCAAGCGCAUAAAGCUGAUGAUCGCACAGCAGACCGUGGAGGUGGGGAAUGCAAUUCGCCGUAGCACAAAUAAAUAUAUCUCGCCGUGGAAACAAUCAGUCGAGCAGGAGUAAGAUGCCGACCGUGUAGUGUAGCUCCUCGCCGCACCUGCUGGCUGCGCGGCGGCGGACCGGCCAGAGCGACAAGCCGAUCGCCGUCUGCCGCGGUGGAGGCGCAGGCAGCAGCAGCAGCAGAGCAGUCCUGCAUCCACAGCCGCCGCCUAGCGGCUCACCGGGGACGCGCGCCACCCGCUCCCCUCCAGCGGACGGUCGCGAAACUGGAAAAUUUUGUUGCAACGGUCGGCUGCGGAAAACCAGGCGAUGGUGUGCGCUCACAGAAAGCACAGCGAAGAAGCACAAAACACGCCGUGGCCUGCCUGCCGCCUGCCCCUGCACACCAGCCAACCAGGCGCGCUCUCGCGGAUCGGUGACGUGGCGAGGUGGACCCCCGAGCCGGCAAAAUAUCUGCCGCCGUGCCACUGCCGCGCGGGGCCCGCACGUCAGCCAUGUGAUCCGCGCGGCCACAUGCCCACCCUCCUCCUGCUGCUGCGGUUCUGCCAGCCCAAAUUUUCCAAAAUCCCGCCCAAGCCCCUGCCGCCGCAGCUUUUGCGCGGAGCACCCUGACGUCUGCUGGAACCGCGAGCACGCCCCUCCGCCACUCGUACGCGGGCGGCCGCAGCCCUAGCCGUCGUAUAGGAAUCCCGGAUGACAACCGGGACCCGCGCCUUUAUGGACCUACAGGUCAGUGGGGGCCGCGGCUGUUGUCGCGGUGAGGAAAGGUCCCGGCGGGUACGGGAAUUCAAAUUGGGAGGCGGAUGCGGGCCCUCGCUGCGCGGGCGGAAUCGCAGAUAUGCCCUUGGGCCACGCCUUCCUUCUUAUCCCCUGCGCCUGCCCUCCCCCCUCUUCCUGCAGCGUCCGUCGCCCCCUUUCCCCUCCCCAUCCCCGCGGGCCGCCAGAGGCAAAUUCGACCUCGAUUCGUCCCCGCUUCGCCCGGCCGCCAGCGGGAUUCCCUCCGCCCCGCGCGGAUCUGACCGCUGCGCUCCGUCACCACGCCGCUCCAAUCCGCCAUGAAGGGGGCCAAAUCCAAGGGCGCCGCCAAGGCCGAUGCCAAGUAAGAAUAACGAAUCUCGCCGUUUCCUUCUUCCUUCCUUGUUCGUCGCCUAGAUCUGUUCCGUGGUGUCCCAACCAUUCGAUUUAUGUUGUUGUUGUUGUUGUUGUUGUUGUUGUUGUUGUUGUUGUUGUUGUUGUUGUUAUAUAUAUGCGACGCCGUGACAUGCGUUUGACUUUUUUUUUUUUCGUUGCCCUGUCUCUGUCGCCGUUGGCGAUUGGUUUCUGCAGGCUGGCGGUGAAGAGCAAGGGUGCGGAGAAGCCCGCCAAGGGCAGGAAGGGGAAGGCCGGCAAGGACCCCAACAAGCCCAAGAGGGCUCCCAGCGCUUUCUUCGUCUUCAUGUGAGAUGCGACUUUUUUUUUAUUCCCCCAGUUUUUCAUUGCUGUUUCUGGAACUGCGGUUCGAUCUGUUUUUGGAUGGAUGUGUAUGCAGGGAGGAAUUCCGCAAGGAGUUCAAGGAGAAGAACCCUAAGAACAAGUCUGUCGCUGCGGUAAGUUCCCCCAACGAAUCAAAUCACCCACUACUACUUUAUGACCGACCGAUAGUACUAUCUAACUUUGACUUUGUGAUUAACCACUUUAUUUAAUUUAUUUACUCGCCUCGAUUCGUAGUUUACUUAACCUUUUUUACCCCCUCUUUCCUGUUGGAACUUUUCAGGUGGGAAAAGCUGCCGGUGACAGGUGGAAAUCCCUCAGCGAAUCGGUAAGCAAAGCUUGCUCCACACAUUACACCUAAAUAAUAAUAGUAGUAGUAGUAGUAGUAGUAGUAGUAGUAGUAGUAGUAGUAGUAGUAGUAGUGGUUAGAUUCGACUAAAAGCUUGUGCUGUUUGGUUAACGUACGUGUGUUUGUGGAUUGUAGGACAAGGCUCCCUAUGUAGCCAAGGCUAAUAAGCUCAAGCUAGAGUAUAACAAGGCCAUUGCUGCCUACAACAAGGGCGAGGUAGGAAAACUUGCAUACUUCAAUUGCUUUGUUACUUAUGUAUAUACUGUUCUAGCUGGUUAUUUAUUCGAAUAAGUAAUGGGCAUACUCAAUGAAUCAUGUGUUGGCUUGUUCAGAGCACCGCUGCUGCUAAGAAGGCUCCUGCCAAGGAGGAGGAGGAGGAAGACGAAGAGGAGUCUGACAAGUCCAAGUCGGAGGUCAAUGAUGAGGAUGACGACGAGGGUAGCGAUGAGGUAUACAAAUUUCUUUCAUGAUGACUCAAAAGCUUCUUAUACGUUUGCAUGAGGCUCACCUGUUAGAUGCAUAGCGUGCUCAUGUGUUAAGCAGGUUACUACAUUAGCUGCUCUAGAAUGUAGGUAGUAUUUGAUUGGAAUCAACCAAUAGAUAGGUAGGUACAUAUUUGUAGAUUGCAUUACGAGUCUAGAAUGUAAGGCUUUGUUGGAACCAGAUUCAUUGUGCUUUGGAGUUAGCAAGUCUUAAGAUCUGUCUUCCCCCUUUGUUUGCAGGACGAAGACGAUGACGAGUGAUGGAGCUUGCUCUGAGACGAUGGACCAUGCUUUGUCCAACAAUGGAGCUGCGACAGAAAGGCCCUGUGGCGAAAAACUAUAAGGAGCCUAUAUCCAUGUACUAGAAUUAUUCAGUUUCACUUCACAUCGUGAUGUUUUUACUUUUGUCGUGCUAUAACGGAUAGCGCUCCUUGUUGGCGCCACCGGCGGGUGGUUUUGCUUCUGGUCUGGUGUGUGGCCACACUGGACCAGCAGAGACGCCCGCUUGUACCUAGAUUACUGUUUCCAUUGUCGUCAUCGGCUAACAUUGUGAUAAUAUCAGUUUGGGUAAUGUUAGAUUAAGUAAUCAUUGUGUUCGAUAUCCUUUUUGUGUUAUAUAUUGUUGCUCUGUGCUUGGUACUGGGAGUUGUGCUGUUGCUUUGCAUCGCGGGCAACUGUCGUGUAACUGCAGAUUUGCCGUUUGGGUGAUACAUGUGCUCCAGUAUUUGGGAGGCACACGGGCACAGUUUAGUUUGAAUAUGUUUGUGAAGGAAUGGAAUGGAAUGGAAUGGGGCUGGGUAAAAU
rnacentral:lncRNA from 1 species